AUUUCAUAUUCACUUUUAACCUGUACUUCAAGUAUUUAGAGUAUUCAAUAUCAAUUAAUGACUCUUAAAAUAUAUUAAUUGUCAUAUUUUUUUCUAGAACCACUUUCAUAUAUCUUUUACAUUAUUAUACUAAACACUUUUAACAACUUGUAAAAUACAUAUGUUAAAUUUAAGCAUUAUGCAUAUAUCAUACCACCGUACACUUUAAUGAUCAAUUAGAGAAAAACAUAUAUUAUUUAGGAUUAAAUAUGUUUUUACUCCUUAUACUUUGAAGCAAUUUUGGUUUUAGUCCCUCUUUCAAACUAAGGUAUAAUUUAGUCCUUCAACUUUAGAAAACUCUGAUUUUAGUCAUUUUUACCAAAUUUUUUUAACUUUAUUUGUUGUUUCAAACGCGUUUCUCAGUUAACAUUGAAGCAAAAAUGUGUCAAAGAGUGUAAACAAUCCAAAUGCUAUAAUGAAACGUGCUUGAAAAACAAAUAAAGUUAAAAAAAUUUGGUAAAAAGAACUAAAACUAGAGUUUUUUAAAGUUGAAGGACUAAAUUGUACCUUAUUUUGACAGAGGGACUAAAACCAAAAUCGUCCUAAAGUAUAAGGACUAAAAACAUAUUUAACCCUAUUAUUUAUUUAUAUAAAAAAGUAAAUUCUUACAAAUUUUUAGACAAAAUAUUUUCACAGCGUAAACAAUGUUAUAAAAUUUUCUAGUGACUCUCGGAACGUGAUAUCCUUAUUACUCUAAUAAAUAAUAUAAUUAGGAUAAACUUUCAUAGACAUCUCCAAAUUACAUUCACCACCACACAACAUGUAAUGUUAUUUACUUCAUAAACAUAAUAUCCACACUAUAUCAAAAUGAAACCAAUUUAGACUUUACAACUCAUUGUUUACAACUACAUUUGAUGUACAGUGCAAUUCAUCAAUAAAAUCAAACAACACAAUUAAAACAUGAUUAAUAUUUUCUAAGCAUACAUAUAUUAAUCAUAUAUAAUUUAACGAACGACAAAUAUUGAUUGUUUUGGCAUUAAUAAUUGUAAUGAUAAAGUUAUCAACAAAAAUAUUUUUAGUAAUAUUAAUGAUAAUAUGCUGUCUAAUUUUGCAACAAAUUUCAUUGACAAAUUUAGUACUAAUAAAUACACUCGUAAGUAAAUUAAAUUGUUAAAUUUGUUGAAAAAAAAUUGUUAAUAAAUUUGUAUUUACUCGAAAAAUUAAUUAUCAUGGAUAGUAAUUCAUCGGUAAUUAAAAAAUAAAAUCUUGUAACGAAAAAACUAAAACCUAUGUAUAGAAAACCCUAAUAUUUAAAGUGAAAGUAUCACUGCAAGACCAACAUCAUCUUUGCCUUGGAAAAUUGCACACAUAAACUCAUACCCCUACUCACGCAAACUACCCGACAUGACAUAAACCGAAGAAAAAUAGUUAAAAAAAAAAACUUACCCAAAAUGAAAAGGUAAUUGACAACUCAUGUUUUUAUCUCUGCUAAAACAAUUGGAAUAGACUAUAAUUUAGAACGAUGUAAACAAAUAUUUCGGUAAAUUAAAAGAAAAAAAAACAAUAUACUUUUAAGAAGACAAUACUUUUUAUGGAAAAAAGUUAAAUAAUUAAUUUUUUUUCUAUGAUAAUCUUUGUAAUUUGACUAAAGAAUGUUCAAAGUUCAUUUCAUUUAAAUCAUUUAUAAUUUUAUAUAAAUUUAAUUCCAUUUCAUAAAUAAAAUGUGAAAAUUAAAAUAAGAAGGAUUAGAAAUUAACAUAAGAAUGUUCUACUGUAUAAAAAUUACCUACAAUAAUAACAUGUCAUUUACCAUGUUUUCUUGAACCACUUAAUAAGUAAAUCACCUUAGCCCAAAUCAAUCCACUAGCAAAAAACAAUAUUGACCAAAUAAGUUGUAUAAUAUUAUAUUUAAAUUUAUAGUAAUUUUUUUUUAAAAUAUAUAUUGUAAAAUAUAACUUUUAUAUUCAUUUUAUUCUAUAAAAUAAUAGUGUGAUAAUCAUAGAUAUUAUAUAAAUUUAUAUAUUUUACUAAACAAAUGUUGUCUAAUAUCAUAUAUCUAAAAAUUUAAAUUAAAAAAUCAUCUAUUCUUAAUUUUGGUUAAAUGAAGAGAAAAAUUAAAAAACAUUUUCCUUAAAAAAGGAUCUUGGGAGUUUUCUUCUGAAUAUACAAUUUUACAUAAAAAUAACAUGUAAAAUUAUAGUUUUACUAAGUUUUUAGAUAAAAAUAAAACUUUAUUAAAAAAACAUUAUCCUUAAAAUAGGAUGUUGAAAUGCAAUGAAAGAAAACUUAAAGGAAAAGAAAAAAAAAAGAAUUUAGUGAUGUUAAUUCCAUGGUGAAAGUGUUGGUGAAUAAUGAGGUACGUGUAAGUAGAUGGAAGGUUGGAAAUGAAGAAUUAGAGAAAUAAAGAGAAAGUGCAGAGGAGUUUUUGUGUAGUGGGAUGGAAGAAUAGAAGAUAAUGACCGAUUGGGUAUAUAUUAUUACACUUUUGGUCUCCCUCAAGAGUAAUUGUCAAGCAACAACCAACAUAUAUAAUCUUCAUAUGUACACCAGUUCUCUGAUCUUUCCCUCCACGUUGCUGUGCCCUACUAGCAUCUGUACCACCCUAUCUAUCUAACCAUAUUGGGCUCUUUAUCUUGGACAAUCUCAAACUGCUAUUUCAUCUGUGGGUCAUCCUUCUUUCAACAAACAAUGAUUUUCAACCUUCAAUGGCCCAAACACCACCCCUCUCUUCUUCUUUCAACAAUUUUCAAAUCUAUCACUAAACCAUUCACAAAAUAGUAAUAAUUUUUUUACUGUUUUGGAAUCACUAAUUAAGUUGGAGGACGAAGGAAAAAGCCAGCGAAUGAAUGAUAUAUAAGAGAAUUGAAAAGGAAAAGAAAAAAAAAAAGGGUUGGAAAGCGAAGUGUCACGCCAAGUUUCAUAAAAGCCAGCUUUGCAUCUUAAGAACCGAAAACUAUUACCCUUUACGAGAUAAGGUUUUAUUAUGUGGCCUCUUUUAAUUGCUGUACAUACCAAGAUGAUUCCAAUUAUCAUAAUGAGUGCAUUUUCAUAGGAUUCAAUUACGGAAAACUUUCUCAUAAUAAUAAUGAUGCACGUUUCAUGCACAUGGGAGAAACCUCUCAAUGCCUUUCUCUGCCAUUUUUCUUCCAUAGCUAUCUCUUCAAAUUUAAGUUUGCAAAUACCUUCGACAACAAUGAUUUUGUUCUUGUCCAGCCUUUAAUUCUGAAAUCAAUAUUUGUAUUUUAGUAAAUGAGUUGAAUGAUUGUAAAUCUGGUAUUGGGCACAUGUGGAGAACUGAUAUAGAAGGAAGGGUUGAGUGAGAGAGAAAGAGAGAAGGAUAUAUAAUAUAUAAGGUUUGAUAAUAUUGCAUGCAUAGUGGACAAUAGAGAGUAGCCAGAAGAGGCCAAUUAAUUAUGGUCAGUGAAUGGUCAUUCUCUGAGCAUAUUAAUAGAUUUAAGGAGAGUUGAUGAAAGAAAAUAGACAAGAGUAUUGGUAAAAGAAUCCAAAGUGUUUGAAUAAAUUAUUAACAGAAAGUGGUUGUCUUUCUUUACUGAAAAUAAUAAUAAUAGGGUUAAAGGGUUAAAGGGUGGUUCAUCUUAUCCUUUUGGAAGUUCCAUGGCAUGGAUUAGAAUGCAAGUAUAUGAUCAUGUGCAAUGUCCCACGCUCUUACAAUGUCAUUAAGGAGCACCCCAUAUUCUUUAUCCAUGGCUACCCCACAACUCCAUUUCCGUCUAGGCAUUUUCUAGUUCUUAUAACCAUGUAACCUUUGCUAACGUUAACCAAACCAACACCAACAUUCUAAUUUCUCUUGGUAAUUAAUGUCCUUACACUCCAACGUUAGCUUUUGGGCCCUCCCACAAUGAUCCAAAUUACUGGUUUUUGUGUGUAAGUGGUCUAUUCAAAGAGGUAAAUAAAUUGGGUUGUAACAUACCCUUAUUAUGGUCUCUGACAUUUCUACCUAAUUGUCACUUUCAACUGCGCAAGUCUGAGAAAGUUGGAGUAAAAACCAGCUCAAUAUGAAAGUUGUGCUUUGGAGAUCACAGCUAUUUGUGACAAACAAUUGCAUUAACAACUCCGUCUCUGGGCCUACAUGCCUCUUUCUCCCAAACGCAAAUGCCACAGUAUCAAAUCAUAGUUUAAAGAAAGUACACAAAUUAAUCAAUUUUAGGAAAUUAGCAUAAUUCCUAAUGUUAUGUCACUUCACAACUGGCAAUUUUGUUCUCCUGCUUCCAUUCAAUAAUACAAUGGAUGCUUAUUAAAAGAUCCUACACUUAUGAUUGUUGUGCCUUAACCAACCGAAUUAUUUUCCCUCUUGCUAAAUUAUCAAUCCUGAAAGAGAAUAUACAAUGGAGAAAAAAACAUUUCAUCUUCAAAUUCUACCCCCUCCACAUAAUACGUGUCCUUUUAUGGAUCAUACUUACACCACUUUCAACUUCUUUUUUUAUCCAUAUUAUAAAACCCUGCUAUCUAUUACUUCUUAACUUUCAUAAUAAUUUAUCCAAUCUAUGCCAUAGAGGAGUUUUUUGUACUUUAUUAGACUUUUGGAUGGUUUUAGUGAAAAUUAACAAUUUUAUAAAUGUUUCUUAUUACUUUUCAUUUGGUUUGUGUUUAAGGAAAUUAUUUCUUGAUUAUAUUUAUAACCAGUGUAAUUGACUAUAUAUUAUGCUAUUAAAAAAAUAACAUAUUAUAUAAGUAAAUUUCAAAAACAUAUUUACAUUUAAUAGUAAUUUAAUCAAUUUAAUUAUAUAUUUUAUAGAUAUUUAAUUAUUUUAUAUUAAAUAAUUUUUUUCUUGAAAUAUAUACCUUUUCCUAUUCUUCUAAAAAAAGUUGUUUUACUAAUACGAAAACUUUUCUUUAUAAACAUUUUUCUUUUCAAAUUUUAUUUUUUAAUUCUCACAAUAUUUUUAUUUAUAUUUUACUCAGUAUGAUAUUUUUAAAUAAAGUAAGGGAGAAAAGUAUGAUUUUGUUAAAAAUAUAAGAAAUAUGAAUACAUUCAUUAAAAAUAUAAGAAAAGUAAGAAUAUUUAUUUGAAAACUAGAAACAAAUGAAUGUUUAUAUAUUAAAAAAUAUAAAGAGAUAAAUAUCUUUUUAAACUUAGAGGAAGUAUAACCAUAGUUUAGGCCUAUCCGAAAAAAUAAGUAUAAUUUUACCAAAAAAAAAUUAAUGAAUAAAUUGAAUCAAACCAAAAUUAAAUUUUAACAAUGCUUUUUAUAUUCUGGUCCAACUCAAACAUAUUUCGAGCCGAAAGAUUUAAUUUUCUUGUCUCCUAGAGUUUGGUGGUUGCUUCGUGGUCCUCACAAGGCUUCUUGUUAUUUUAAGGCCCAAUCCUUUCUAGUUAUAUUUGGACUUUGAACCCACGAUUUUAGUAGCCCUGUUCCUGGCCCAUGUAGAGGCGUUGUUACUAUUUAAAUCUCCCAACAAACUGUACUUUGCAUAAAAUUCUUCCUAUAACGUUUUUUGCCGCGUUAUUUUAUCUAAAAAAUUAACCCACCAAAAAGUCGUUCCUAUUGUAUAUAUUUUUGUAUAUACUUUUCAAAAACAAAAUAAAAUAUAAGAAAACUUUAUUUUCACCACAUUAAAUUGUUAUAUAAAAUUUAUCAACAUAUUUCUGUUGAAAAAUUGAAUAGUUAAGAGGUUUAAAUUGCAAAUAAGGGGUGAGAACAGCAAUGCAGCCGUGUAAUGAAUAAUAUCAGUCCAUUUUUUUUAUAUGAAUAUUGGAGAAAAUUGUUUCGAAUUGAUAUUGAAAAAGAAUGAACUGAUUUUAGAAACUGUGUCAUAAUAUGUUCAGAUGACGUAAAUUUUUACUGUCAUAAAAUUUGUAGACCUAUUAUAACGUACAAAACUAUGUACGUCAUAGUUCGUUUUUGUACGUCAUAAAAUAUGAUUUUUGUACUAGUGGUGGUGGAGCUUCUUGACUCACUUGAGGGUAGUUGUAAAUAUAAAUAUGCGUGGUUGGGUGAUUAUUCUACAAUUCAGUAUUCUACAGUUCAGUUUAUUACCUCAGUUAUUAGGAGAGUAGUGUAAGUCUUCAAUGGACUCAAUGUCAUCCGUAAUCCAAGACCAAACAUUAAAAUCCCAUGAAAACAACCCAAAUCCUCAAACACAUUCCCCAAAUGCAUCUUUCCUCAGCACUUGUCUCAAUGGACUGAAUGUUUUAUCAGGUAGUACUCUUUCUCUUCUUGCUACGCUUAUAACAACAUACCCCCCUAAACAUAACUACUAAAGAAAAGGCUUUACGUUCAGCAGACUUCUCAAAGCUUCAAAUCUGUUCUGUCUUAGGGGUUUGGUAAAAAUGUCAGCAACUUGCGUUUCAGUAGGACAGUACAUUAAUUCAAUUUUCCCUUGAUUAACCAGAUCCCUUAAGAAAUGAAACUUUGUUGAAAUAUGUUUGCUUCUCCCGUGAAACACCGGGUUCUUGGACAAGCUUAUGGCAGAUUUGUUAUCCACCAUCAACUGCAUAGGUUUUCUGCAUUCAAUCUUCAAGUCUCCAAGAAGUGAUUCCAACCAGAUGCACUGACAAGCUGUUUCCGCAGAUGCUAUAUAUUCUGCUUCACAUGUUGAAAGUGCUACAAUACUUUGCUUCCUGGAACACCAUGAAAUAGGUGCCCCUUCAUACCGAAUGAAAUAGCCAAAUGUGCUUCUCCUAUCAACUUUGUCUCUACUCCAAUCUGAAAUCGCACCACACUUCUAAUAUACCCUUCGUGCUGCGUGAAUCUUUCGGAAACAGAAGACCAUAACUUGCUGUCCCCUUCAAAUAUCUCAAAACGUGUUUUGCUGCUGCCAUAUGUGAAGUUCUAGGUUCGUUCAUGAACCUGCUGAUAACUUUUUGGCAAGUAUACCAAAUCGUUACAAGUAAUACAGUGACAAGAAAAGUAUCGUUCUCCUAAGGGAAUUUGUGUUACGUUAUUUAAUUUAAAAAUUAUAUCAAGAUCAAUUCGUGUUGAUGAAAGUUGCUUUGAUUUUUGCAUAAAGAACACAGAAUUUAACAACGUAAAAGUUAAGAUGAAAAUAUGAUACGAACAAUCAUUGGAAUUGGUUUCAGACUAACAUCUCAGUAACAUCCUGUACAAUCUAUGACCUGUUCAUGCAUUCACAAGUUGAUAUCUUGCUUUAAUUCCUUAAAACAAGUUCUAAAAUUAUUCCUUAAAUUAUUAAUUCCUUAAUUAAUUUAAUGAAUAAUUUUGCAUUGAGUUCAGAUGUCAGAAUGGGCAAAAGCAUGUAAGCUAUGCCUAGCGUAAUCACUUUUAGCUUCUUUUCUUACGUUUCUGGUUCUAAAAAUACUUCCCAGUACAAAAAGAACUUUUAAGAAAAAUUAUACUUCCAUAUAAUCAAAAUCAAGUAAAGAAAAGAACAUGAACAAAUACAUUUAUUGAUCAGGACAAUUACAUCAAUGUUUUGCCAUACAGCCAAUUCCAAUGAAAGAAAAUUUAGCCUAUCCUAGACAUCACAAACGUACUCAUUUUUGCAAUUCCUUGCAUCAUGUGUAGUCUUGAUGUCUUCAGAAAGUCUUCUCAGCGUCUUCUUUUGUCUUCAGAGAGAUUCUCUAAUUUUUCUCGUGUGUCUGAAGAUUCCCUUCCUCUUUGUCACGUAUCAUUAAGAGCCAGUUAAUUUUUCAGUAACUUGCACCAUUCGCUUAGCGCACAGAAGCAAAUUCGCUGUGCGAAUUAAUUUUUAUUUAUGCAGCUCAACUGCUGUACUUCGCUCAGCGCACAGCCUCAGGUGCGCUUUGCGAAUUUACAUUUUUUUUCACUUCUCUGCUGUAAUUCGCUUAGCGAACCAAUACUGGUGCGCUUAGCGAAUUAUUGACUUUUGCUCCUCCAAAUUGGUUGAUUUGCUCAGCGAACCAAUAGUGGUGCGCUGUGCGAAUGUAUUCAUCUGGCUCUGCGAAUUUUGCUGGCUGUGCGAGAAUUGGCUGUCAACUUCACAUUUAUGCAACUUUUCCUGAACAAUAAUUUACGAAACACUCUGCUACAAAUUACAACUUUUCACUGAGUAAAAACAUGAAUAAUUACAUGAUUAAGGUAAUUUAUAAGUGUAAAAAUAUUUGUUUUUCACACUUAUCAACUCCCCCAAACUUGGAUUAUUUCAUGCCCUCAGGAAAUCACAAAAACAAAUGAACAACACAAUACAGACAUUUGACGUUUUGAUAGAAUGACUUUACACAUCAGACAAAUCACAUGCAUUCCUAAGGAUUCAAACAAAUAUGACAUGGUCCAGUACUCAAAAAUUCACCUGCAUAUAGAAUAUGCACAACCAGAUCAAAAUAAUUCUCACCUCUCAAAGUGUUUGUCCUCUCAUGACAGUAGAAUUGUCUUAGAACUUCAUCAGUGUUUGCAUUUCGUUUGAUUCACACACUUCACACACUAUUGGUUAAGUCCAAAGGUCUUUUCAGGGUAAGGCUUGGCUUGGCUAGAAAAAGAAUAAUGGUUUUUCUUGGAUUCAAAGACACCUAUUAAGAAGAGAACAAUUUCAAUUCCCAAUUCAGUACUCAAUCCCCAACAUAUAUCAUUUAUCACACACCAUUUUCUUUUACAGCUCAACCUUCUUUUUCAAUUUGAGCAAAUUUUUAUUUGUUUUUUUUUUUAUUUUUUUAUUUUUUAUCUUUUCUUCCCCCAAACUUGAAUUCAACCUUAACCUCAUAAAUUCACAAUACAUGUUCUCUUCUAAGGUGUAAGGUAGGAUAACAUAUUAAGCUCAAGGUGAAAGAAAGAAAAUAAGGCUAAAAAAGGUUUAACAAAUGAAGCACAGUGUCACAAGGUUGGCUAUCUGGCCAAGUAGCUGCAUAAUCAAUAUCAAACAGGGCCUUUUUUCAUCCUUAACCAAAGUGUGUGUAUGUACGUAGAAUCAAACUCAUGCAAAAACCAAUUCCAUAUCCAGACAACUCUUUAUCUCUUAAUCAGUAGCUCUCAACACUCACAGAUCUGGUUAUAUUCCAACACACAGAUAAAUUCUGAAACACAGUAACCACACAUACAAGUCAUCAUCCUCAAGAACCACAUAACACAAUCAGAACAUGCAUAGUCAUUAAAUCAAAACAUCAAAGUCAAAGUCUUUACAACAUAAUCCUAAACAGUAACAGAGUUCCACAAUAACAACUAAGCUGAACAUAAAAACAUAAAAACAUAACAUAAAACAGGCAACAUGAAGAGCAUCUGUCCAUCAGCUCUCUACCACGACCCAUCUGGUCCAGAUCUCCAAUGGCUGUGCUGUGUGUGCUGACUCUGCUGCAUCCACCUAGGGUCCGGCUCCUCUGGCUCCUCAUGACCCUCAUCAUCAGUCGUCAUGUCCUCCUGCUGAUACUCUGUCUGUGGUGCUGUCGUGUAUACUGGGAAAGCUCUCCCCCACCUAGAGUCAGGCAUGUCCUCAGGCCAAGGAAUGUGCUCAAUGAACUGGUCGCCAUUCAUCACGGAAUCUGCAGGGACGCCAGGUGUACCUAAUGAAAGCUGGUACAUGCUAUCCUGCAAAGAUACCUGUCCCUGCCGCAUAGUGUAGCACCAGUCUCGAAUAUCAUCCAUCCUCACCAUACUCUGGAUCAUAUAAUCAGUAUGCAGAUCAGAUGGAGGAGCAGUAUGGGAGGAGGUGGGUGGCCUAGCUGCUCGUCUGCUUGGAGGAGGAACUGGAGGAGGGGCAUCAGUAGCAGACGACUCCCCUCUGUUAACACAGUUACGGUCAAAAAAUCUUUUCUUGAAAGGAGGCUGCAGUUUCAAUGUAAUAUCCGAUACCCCUGCAACUCCAUUUGCUUUACAUAAAGCAGUCACCAAGGCAGGGAAUCCGAGUUUGCAGGAGUCAUUAUUUGCCAUCAAUGAGAUCUCUUGAGAGAUGAACGCUCCGAUAUCCAUACUGAUACCAGUCAUAAUCCCAUAUAUCAAGUAGGAGCGCUCCAGGUUGAUGUCAGAGGUGUGGGAAUUGGGACAGAUGUUGGUGAAAGAAAAAGUACUCCAGAUUGUGGCCACCGAGUUUAGAUGCUUCCUCAAUAUUCUCACAGGUGUGCCACUAGUCCCAAGCUGGUAUCCAUAGCCAGGAAGACAAAGUGUGGAAGCUAUCAAGUCAUGAUCAGGAUGACCGGACAUAAACGUGCCAAGUGGGCACAGAAUAAACAUCAAUGUGUGCAGCAGCCUAUUUAAGGCUUUCCGGUCAUAACGAAUGAGCUUCCCUCGCACUGUAGAAGCUCUAGUGCUAGGAGUCUGGACUUGUUCAGGAUCCCAUGCAUUGGCGUAAAAUUCUUUCACCAAUACCUCAUCUAUUUCAUCUGGAAGGUUGGCUAAUAAGUGAUUCCAUUUUCUCCUAGCCAACUCUUCCGAGAUGUGGUCAUAUUCCCCCGGUUUCAGUUCUAUCCUCCUCUCAGGCAAGAGUCCUCUGCCCAUGAUAUUCUGAUUGAACCUCUCCUGGGCAAUUUCUGACACAAACCUGUUCUGAUCAAAAUUGAGAACUAGGUUCUCAUCUUGUUGGACUGCAGGCUGUGAUCUAGAAGAGGACCCUUUUGUGGCCUUCCUCUUCUUUUCAUAUGCAGUGGGGACAUGGUAAGUAUUUUUGGGAGGCAUCAUCUGCAAGAAACACAAACACAGAGCAAACAAUUGUGGAAGAAGGAGUCAGAUUACAUGAAUUGCUCAAGAGAGUCUCUGCCAAAUGAAUUUCGCUGUGCGCACAUAGCAGUGUGCGCUGUGCGACAGUGUAAAUUGUGCUUGCUGGCAGGUUAAAUUCGCUAUGCGACAGUGGUCGCUAUGCAAAAUUAAGACUGUCUCGCUGUGCGCACACAGAAUUGUGCGCUCUGUGAAACUCAGAAUUUCUUGUGCUCAGAAUGAAUUCGCUAUGCGAAUGCAAUCGCAGAGCGAGACAGUAGCCAUUCGCUGUGCGCACACAGAAUUGUGCGCUAUGCGAGACUGCGUAAAUGAGAACACAUGGUUUAGCAAUUCACUAUGCGACAGUGGUCGCUAUGCGAGAUUCAACAAUGAACAUUCAGAUCCAUUCGCUAUGCGACCUUGGUCGCUGCGCGAGAAUAGCAUUUACAGAGACCAUUCGCUAUGCGACAGUGGUCGCUUUGCGAAAUUCAAUCUUUUUGGAGACCCAACAGGAUUCGCUAUGCGAUAACAUGCAAAGAGAUCAAAAAAGUUUUACACAAAGUUCCCCUUUUCAAAAUGUAAUACGUUCGCAGAGCGAAUCCUAUUCUCAAGCACAAUGACAUCACAAAGACUAUGCAUAGACCACAAUCACCAAACAUGGACAGACAGAUUCCCAAUCAUGCAACCAAAAUUUCCUAAUCUAAACAUUGAACAAGAAUGAACAAGGAUGAACAGAGAGGGAACCAACCUAAUGAGUGUGCACGAAAUGUGAACAGAGAUGAGUUGAGAAGAAUUGCAAGCACUUGCUUGAACAGAUUCAGAGAAGUGUUUAUGGUGCAAUGGAGGAAAAAGAAAAGAUGGAGAGGUUGGCAGAGAGCAGUGUGCGGAGGGAGGAGAUGAAAGGUGGUAAGGAUGAAAAGAGUGAAAUGUAAAAAGAGAAGUUACAAAGUUAAAGUCCCUGCAGUGUUGAUUCGCAUAGCGCACUAGGGUUUGUGCGCUAUGCGAAUCAUAGUGCAAUUAAUGCGCUCUCUCUUUUUCAGAACCUUUUGAUUUUUUUAUUAAUUUUUUUUUGGACUUUUAACUCCAUUCGCUGAGCGCACAAGGGUGUUUGCGCUAUGCGAAUAAAUUUUAUUUUAUUUUAUUUUUUUUUUAAGAAAAGAAAAUUCGCCUAGCGCACCAGAGAGUGUGCGCUGUGCGAAUUAGGGCAACCAAAUCUUCAAGAAUCAAUUCGCAGAGCGCACCUCAGCUGUGCGCUGUGCGAAUAAACAUGAAAACUUCAAUCUCGCUCUGCACAGAAUUUCGCAGAGCGACUCUUUCAAUUUAUUUUCAAAUGAUCUUUGCUCGCUUAGCCACUCCAUUUCGCUAUGCGAAUCGCUCUUCGAGAGAAAAUUAAAAUUUUAGAUGCACAGCGCAAAGUGUGCGCUGUGCGAAAUUAAUUUUAAUGCCAAACAAUUUUUCUCUCUCGUAGAGCGAAUGGUGUGCGCUAUGCGAGUAAGCAUAUUUUCCCAAAAAUUAUUUAGUCGCCUAGCGCACUUCAGCUGUGCGCUUUGCGACUAAAUCUCCAGCAUUCACUUUCAUGCAUUAUUAACACUUCCUCUCCACACUCAACUCAACAAUAACAUGAACAAAAACAAGAACACAAACAACAAUAUAUACAAACACAAAUAUAUACAAACCUGUGCUAGGGUGCCUCCUAGCAAGCGCUUCUUUAACGUCACUAGAUUGACCCAGAAUCUCAUGGCUCAGACAAUUUAAUAGUUGUGGUGAGGCGUUCAACCUCACCUCCAAAAUAAUGUUUCAGUCUCUGGCCAUUAACAAUCCAACUUCUUUGAUCCUCAGAAUUUGGAUCCAUUAAUUCAACAGCACCAUAAGGCUUGACUGCCUUAAUCACAAAAGGACCAGACCAUUUAGAUUUCAACUUACCUGGAAACAGUUUGAAUCUGGAAUUGAACAACAGUACCUGUUGUCCAGGUUGAAANNNNNNNNNNNNNNNNNNNNNNNNNNNNNNNNNNNNNNNNNNNNNNNNNNNNNNNNNNNNNNNNNNNNNNNNNNNNNNNNNNNNNNNNNNNNNNNNNNNNNNNNNNNNNNNNNNNNNNNNNNNNNNNNNNNNNNNNNNNNNNNNNNNNNNNNNNNNNNNNNNNNNNNNNNNNNNNNNNNNNNNNNNNNNNNNNNNNNNNNNNGCAGUCAACCUCAUCUCCUCCAGCUCUUGCAAUUGAAGCUUUCUGUUACCUGCACACAGAGAAGCAUCAAAGUUCAGAAAUUUUAAAGCCCAAUAUGCCUUAUGUUCCAUCUCAACAGGGAGAUGGCAUGACUUGCCAUAGACUAAUUGGUAGGGUGUUAGCCCUACAGGAGUCUUCAAGGCAGUCCUNUAAGCCCACAGGACAUCAUCUAAUUUUGCCGCCCAAUCCUUUCUUGAAGAUGAUACGCUCUUUUCUAGGAUUCUUUUUAUCUCCCUGUUGGAGACUUCAGCUUGGUCAUUGGUCUGAGGAUGAUAAGGUGAAGCAAUUCUAUGCCUCACAUCAUAAUGUUUCAAGACCUUAGCCAACUGGGCAUUACAGAAAUGUGAUCCUCCAUCACUUAUGAGGAUCCUGGGCACACCAAAUCUUGCAAAAAUUUGUCUUUUGAGAAAUUUGACCACUGUCUUGGCAUCGUUCUUGUGGCAUGCUGCAGCUUCCACCCACUUACUGACAUAAUCCACUGCCACUAAAAUAUAUUCGUUGUUGNAGGAAGAAGGUAAUGGUCCCAUGAAAUCCAUUCCCCAACAAUCAAAUACUUCAACUUAUAAAAUUGCCUACAGUGGCAUCUCAUGUCUCUUUGAAAUGCUUCCUGGAUUUUUCUUGAUAUAUCUCAAGAUCCUUAUUGCUGCUGCAUAAUGAUCUUCCUAAUUAAUUUUCAGUUGUUUCUUGGUAUAUUGGAAUUAUUUUAUAUUCUCUGUUCAUAUCUGUGCAUUUAUGUUCAUAUAUUUUUAUACUUAUAUUCCUUUUUUAUAUUGCUCUAAAUAAUUAUAUAUAUCAAUUGUACUCUCUCCUUAUUAUUCAAUAAGAAAUACAAUAUUUCAUUUCUUUCUUCUUUUCUAACAUGGUAUCAGAGCCAUGACUGGAGCCCAUCCUAGCAAUUUCUGUUGUCGUUGGGCAUAUUGAUCCACCCACUAUCGGACCGCUAUCGGACCACCCAUUAAAAAGUCUAAUCCCACGCUCGAGAUGUAUAUACCUCGGCGUGAGGGGGGUGUGUUGGAGGUCCCACAUCGACUAGAGAUGAGACUAUUUAAGUGUAUAUAAGUGGGUGCAAACCUCACCCUACAAGCCGGUUUUGUGGGGUUGAGUUAGGCUUAAAGUCCACUUCUAACAAAAGAAGAGAAGAAAAGAAAAAAAAAAAGAAUUUAGUGAUGUUAAUUCCAUGGUGAAAGUGUUGGUGAAUAAUGAGGUACGUGUAAGUAGAUGGAAGGUUGGAAAUGAAGAAUUAGAGAAAUAAAGAGAAAAUGCAGAGGAGUUUUUGUGUAGUGCGAUGGAAGAAUAGAAGAUAAUGACCGAUUGGGUAUAUAUUAUUACACUUUUGGUCUCCCUCAAGAGUAAUUGUCAAGCAACAACCAACAUAUAUAAUCUUCAUAUGUACACCAGUUCUCUGAUCUUUCCCUCCACGUUGAUGUGCCCUACUAGCAUCUGUACNACCCUAUCUAUCUAACCAUAUUGGGCUCUUUAUCUUGGACAAUCUCAAACUGCUAUUUCAUCUGUGGGUCAUCCUUCUUUCAACAAACAAUGAUUUUCAACCUUCAAUGGCCCAAACACCACCCCUCUCUUCUUCUUUCAACAAUUUUUAAAUCUAUCACUAAACCAUUCACAAAAUAGUAAUAAUUUUUUUACUGUUUUGGAAUNACUAAUUAAGUUGGAGGACGAAGGAAAAAGCCAGCGAAUGAAUGAUAUAUAAGAGAAUUGAAAAGGAAAAGAAAAAAAAAAAGGGUUGGAAAGCGAAGUGUCACGCCAAGUUUCAUAAAAGCCAGCUUUGCAUCUUAAGAACCGAAAACUAUUACCCUUUACGAGAUAAGGUUUUCCUAUAACCCUUUGGUUAAUCCACGCUCUCUCUCUCUCCCUUCCAAAUUAAUACACACAUCUAACAAAACAAACACAUUUUUCUAUCUUUUCUUUUCAAAUGCCAACUCUUAUCUUCUUAAAUAUUUUCUCAAAUAACAAAACUAUUUAGUUAACUUUUUCAAAAUAUUAAAUAUUAAUUAUCUAAGUGUUAAGGUGAUAUUAUCUGAAGAUUCUUAUUUUAAAUAACUUUUUAUUCUUCAGAGUAACCACACACAAUACUAUAAUAUUACAUCUCUUCGAUUUGUUUUGAAGGGACUGAGAAGUAUCUUUUUUGAUACGGACAAUACAACGGUAUCAUGGCAAGGGAACCGUACUAUUGUUCCAUUUAAGGCACUAGCUUACUUCCCUACUAUUCACAUGUCCUAACUAAAUGAUAUAGCCCCUUGUGGUGGCACUAUGAUGUAUGUUUUCUUAUGAAUUUUGGGAUGUCCUCCCUCUAAGGACCACAUCCGUAGUAUCACUCCUUAGGACUUACUUUCCUUUAAUGUGAGUGGCUUACUUAUAUCAAUAAAUCAUCUGUGGAACUUAUUUCUAGCUUAAUAUCUUGUCUUGGCCAGCUAACUAUCACAUACUUAUAAUUUUGGAACCAAUGGGGCUUCGGUAAUGCAUUGAAUCAUUGAAUAGAUAAUUGGGUUACUUCACUGUUAUUACAAAGAGCAAUCUUUUUUCCCUGUCAGUGUAGUUUCUUCUUUACAAGGUCCCUAUUUAUACUCUUCCUAUACUCACUUUCGCAACUCAUUCACUUUCCCAACUCACUCGCUCUUGUUUGAAAAUGUAUCAUCCUGUUGCAUACAGGACUCGAAGCAAGAAAGUCGGUGGUAAGUUGACGAUGGGUCGGAAAAGAAGAAAGGUGGAUGAAGAUGAUGAUGAAGUGAUUUGCUUGGGAGAUAUGAAGAAAGGUUUCCUGUAUUUAGGAGAGACUAAGGAUAAUCGUUCUGUAGGAGCUAUGAGAGAUGAUAAAGGUGAAAGCUUUGAUGAUCAUGAAUACGGUACUAAACCUGAAAAGCCAAUUAUUUUGUUGUCCGAUUCAUGUAGGAGUGGAGGUAGUAGUUUUGAUGAUGGAUAUGAUUCGUUGUGGUCUUCAACGGAGAGUGAAGAUGUUGAGACUAAUGACGAUGAUAUUAUGGCCCGAUUAUGAGAGUUAUGGGGGAUAUUUAAGGAUAGUUAGGUUAGAGCUCAAAGUCAUAUAAUGGAUAGUUGCAUGAAAGGGAAAAAAAAACCCACCUCUACACAUACCGUGCACGUUUGAAAAGAGAGGGAAGGAUCUGUGAGGGUUGGCUUGGCUCUUCGUCCGUGUUAAAGAACGUGAGGAAGGGACCUUUUACUUCCUCUUACUAGACAUCUUUGUAGUCUAAAACGCUUUCAAGAAUUCCAGGGAAACUAACUUUUAUGGUGAUUGUAUUUGUCAUGAGUGUUAUUGUCGUGAAUGGAGGUUGCUUGUGUUUUACCAUGUCGUAUGAAUUGUUGAAGAGGGAACCAUUAGAGUUGUUUUGGUUAUGAGAAAUCUUAGAUACACGUGGGGUAUAUAAAAUUAAUUGGAGAUGAUACAUGGGAAAGAGAGUUAUAACCGUGACAUAGUUUUAUAAACUCGUGACAUCUAAAAAAUCUGGAAUGUUACAAGUAGCACACAAUAUAUGUUAAAACAUUUAUUAAUGUAUCAUUUUAGUUUUUCAAAUAUAAUUUCUUAAUUUCUUUUUAUUAAUAGAAAUUAAAUACAUAUAACAAAAUUUCAAAAAGAACACAAUAACAUAUUAUUUUAACAGUUCGUUAACUAAACUGAAACAGUUAACCCUAAAUUUAAGUAUGAAAAAUAAAGAGCAGUAUGAGUGGUAUAAUAUAUUAGUUUGUUUUUUUUUUUCAUUAUAGUUAUCAACUCUGCUUAUGUUUUGUAAAUGGUAGUUUUUUUUUUUUCUUUUGUAUUAUUUAUCACAAGUUUCGUAUUAUUCCUCAUUUUUUAUAACAGUCUUCAUAUGAUCCCUCAUAUUAGGUUCUUGGUACGAUCCUUCAUAUUAGGAUCGUUUUCUUCGUAUGAUCCCUCAUAUUAGGAUUGGGUUCUUUCGUAAGAUUCCUCGUAUUAGAUUGAAUUACGUGGUGGAGUUUUUUGAUCCCUCAUAUUAGGUUCAUAUUAGGUUGGGUUACGUGGUGGAGUUUCUUGACUCUAUGAAUAUAAAUAUGCAUGGUGGGUGAUUCUUCUACAGCUCAAUAUUUCAGUAUUCUACAAUUCAUUUUAUUACCUAGUGUAAGUCUUCAAUGGACUCCCCAAAUGUUUCUUUCCUCAGCACUUGUCUGAAUGGACUGAAUGUUUUAUCAAGUAAAUAUUUUCUGUUAUUGUUCCUCGAUAAACAGUGGAUUUUGGUAUGUUUUAUGAUCAGGUGGAACCUUAAAUUAUUUGGAGAGAGAAACCUAGGUUUCUUUUCUUUUAUUUACUUUUUCCUUUAAAAGGAAAAGGAUUGCCUUAGGUUGGCUUUUUAUUUUUAUCUUUUUAGUUAAAAAAAAAUAAAAAUAAAAAUAAAAAUAUUCAACCAAGUUAAAUUCGUUUUUCCCAAUUUUUUUUCUGGUUCUCUUCCUCUUUUUCGUUUCGAUCCUCCGUAUUGUGCAAAGAAGAUGGCCUCAAGUUGGUCUCAUGGUGGCGAAAACGGCAGCGAGAGCGCUCAGGCGGUGUUCUCGUCUUUCUUGGUGGCUCGCAAUGACGCUUGGGUCGUUCUUCUUCUCCUCUUCUUUCCGUUCUGACUCGUGAUUUGCAGAGGAGAGACUUCUUUCUUUGGUUGAGGGUUGUUUCGCAGGAGGGAGGCGAACUCCGGCAGCAGCGCUGCGCUGGCGGGCCGAUGGCGCUACGAUGGCACGUCGAGGGCGCAGCGAGGGUGCGGCCUCUUCUCUGGUUCGGUUCGUCCGCUAAAAGGAGAAGCUUUGUUCUUCGUUUCGUUCUCUGAUUUGGGGUUGGGGUUUUGCAGGAAUUUCUCUUCUUAUUCCCAAAUUCUUUCUCGGUUCAAUUUUGGUGGUUCCUGUUUCUGGGGUUUUUGUCGCUUCUUUACAGAUAAAUGAUCGUGAAUUUGGAGUGUGUAUUGGAAUUAUUUUAUUCUCUGUUCAUAUCUGUGCAUUUAUGUUCAUAUAUUUUUAUACUUAUAUUCCUUUUCUAUAUUGCUCUAAAUAAUUAUAUAUAUCAAUUGUACUCUCUCCUUAUUAUUCAAUAAGAAAUACAAUAUUUCAUUCUUUCUUCUUUUCUAACAGUGUGGUUUGAAGAUUGUUGUUCUAAUCUUAAGGUCUGAGAUUAGGGCUUCAAUUUGAUUUUUCCUGGAGGUUCUGUUCUUCACGAAUCUCGUUUCUUGUUGGAGUUGAAACCGGCUUGGCCAUGGUAGUUUUCGCUUGUUGGUGGUUGUCUGAGUUGCAGCAGGGAGCUGCGGGCAGUCAGGGGAUUGCAGUGACCUCCCACGUGGAAUUCCUUUUGGGCCAUGGGUGAAUCCUGGGUUGAAUUUGAAUAUAUUGGAAUGUAGGCCUGUUGAUUGUAGUUGGUUCAGUUUAAAACCUAAUUGGUCUGUUAGUUCAAAGUUUGGAAGUUUGGAUUAUUUGGAACUUAGGUCUGUUUUUAAAAUUAAAUUAAUGUAAUGGGAAAUAAAUUAAUCAAUUGAUAUUAAUUAAUGAAAAUAAACUGGAAAGGAAAAGAGAAAAAAAGAUUAAUUUAUAAUAAUUAUAAUCAUGGAACAAAGUUAUUACUAUUUAUUUAGUAAUUAAUUGAAAAUCAAAUUAAUUUACUCGAAAGAGAAAUUAAUUUAGAAUAAGAAAGAAAUUAAUUGCUUUUAAAAAUUAAAUAUUUUAAAAUUAAAAUUAAAUAUUUUGAAAUUAGAAAUUAAUUUACUUUCAGAAAAGAAAGGAAAAUAUUGAGAUUUUAAUGAUUAAUUAUUUUUAGAUUGAAUUUUGAUUCUUAAAAUAUUAUAGAAAUUUAUAUUAGGAUUACAUAAGAUUAUAUGCUAAUGUACAUUGAUGUAUAAAUGGUGAAAUGAGAGAUGUGUGGAUUAUGUUUAGUUAGUUAUAAAACUAAUAAGAGAACCAUUUCUUCUUGUUCCAUAAAUACUGUAUCCUUCUUUCGUAUGCCUUAAUAUAAGGCUAAUGUUUUAUUUCCGAUUUUGGUUUAAUUUUCAGGUGUUGGUAUACUCUCAGUUCCUUAUGCUCUUGCAAUAGGAGGUUGGUUAAGUUUGAUUCUUCUAUUUUUAAUUGCCACUGCUACAUUUUACACUGGCCUUUUAAUUAAAAGAUGUAUGGAUAACAAUUCAAACAUUCGAACCUAUCCAGAUAUAGGAGAAUUUGCAUUUGGAAAAACAGGAAGAUUAAUAGUGUCAAUAAUAAUGUACACAGAACUAUAUUUGGUUCCAAUAGGAUUUUUGAUUCUAGAAGGUGAUAAUUUGAGCAACAUGUUUCCUAUUGGAAAGGUUCACAUAGCAGGCUUAGGAAUUGGUGGGAAACAAUUAUUUGUGAUUAUUGUUGCUCUUAUCAUUUUGCCCACAGUUUGGUUGGACAACCUGAGUCUACUCUCAUAUGUAUCUACAACUGGAGUUUUUGCUUCUCUUCUAAUAAUCCUUUCAAUAACAUGGACUGGAACAUUUGAUGGAGUUGGUUUUCAUCAUAAAGGAACUCUUGUCCAUUGGAAUGGUCUCCCCACAACUGUUAGCUUGUAUGUCUUCUGUUAUGGUGCACAUACUGUCUUUCCCAUGUUGUACAAUUCGAUGAGAAACAAACAUCACUUCUCAAAAGUAAGCACUCAUUUUUUAAUAUUAUUGUCCUAUACACUUUCUUGUUUUUUUCUAUCUAAUUAAUGAAUUUUACUUUUCUGAACAUUACAGGUCCUACUGGUAUGUUUUCUCGUAGCCACUGUGGGUUAUGCAUCCAUGGCAAUAGUGGGUUAUUUAAUGUUUGGUGAGGAGGUUAAGUCUGAAGUAACAUUAAACCUGCCUCUAAACAAAGUUAGCUCAAAAGUAGCAAUAUACACCGCCUUGAUGAAUCCCAUAUCCAAGUUUGCUUUGAUGCUAACCCCUAUUACGAAUGCUUUGAAAGACUUGCUUCCAACAACCUACAAGAAUAGGGUGACGAGCAUCUUACUAAGCACAGUGUUGGUAUUGAGCAUCACUAUUAUUGCCCUUGCUGUCCCUUUCUUUGGAUCUCUGAUUUCACUGGUUGGAGCCUUUCUAAAUGUCACAGCUUCUAUUCUGCUUCCGUGCUUGUGCUACUUGAAGAUUUCAGACACUUACAAGAAAUUUAGGUGUGAAACAGUAGUUAUAGUGAUAAUGAUAAUGAUAGCUAUUGUAAUGGCAAUUUCAGGAACCUACAUUUCUCUCAUGGAAAUAGCACACAAUCUAUAAAUGACAAUGUAAUGAUCCAUGCUGUUUACUGAAUAUAUGUUAGUGCGUUUGAAAGUCCAAUCAUGCAUGUCUGUUGAAAAAUAUCUAGUCAAAUCUCUAUUUGUUUCAGAAUGUUUAGUCAUACACACAGGAUAAACGAUAAUUAAAAAUAAAUAAAAAAUGGAGCAUAAAGCCAGAAAUUAUUACUUCAAAAUCAUAAAAAGAUUAUAUCAGAAUUAGGACAGACUAUAAUUACUGAAAUAUUGAUUAUUUAUACUAUUUUACAUUAUAAAAAUUGAAUUACUUUUUAUAAAAACUGAAUUAUAUUUAUUUGUAAUUCAAUUUAAAAAAACUGAAUUUCUUUUAUUAAUAAUUUAGUUAACUACUUUAAAAGGGUUAAAGGGUGGUUCAUCUUAUCCUUUUGGAAGUUCCAUUGGCAUGGAUUAGAAUGCAAGUAUAUGAUCAUGUGCAAUGUCCCACGCUCUUACAAGGUCAUUAAGGAGCACCCCAUAUUCUUUAUCCAUGGCUACCCCACAACUCCAUUUCCGUCUAGGCAUUUUCUAGUUCUUAUAACCAUAUACCUAACCAUGUGAACUUUGCUAACGUUAACCAAACCAACACCAACAUUCUAAUUUCUCUUGGUAAUUAAUGCCUUACACUCCAACGUUAGGUUUUGGGCCCUCCCACAAUCAUCCAAAUUACUGGUUUUUGCGUGUAAGUUGUCUAUUCAAAGAGGUAAAUAAAUUGGGUUGUAACAUACCCUUAUUAUGGUCUCUGACAUUUCUACCUAAUUGUCACUUUCAACUGCACAAGUCUCAGAAAGUUGGAGUAAAAACCAGCUCAAUAUGAAAGUUGUGCUUUGGAGAUCACAGCUAUUUGUGACAAACAAUUGCAUUAACAACUCCCUCUCUGGGCCUACAUGCCUCUUUCUCCCAAACACCAAUGCCCCAGUAUCAAAUCAUAGUUAAAGAAAGUAUACAAAUUAAUCAAUUUUAGGAAAUUACCAUAAUUCCUAAUGUUAUGUCACUUCACAACUGGCAAUUUUGUUCUUCUGCUUGCAAUCAAUAAUACAAUAGAUGCUUAUUAAAACAUCCUACACUUAUGGUUAGGGAUACUGAAUAAAGAGAGAAUAUUUUAUGUUAGUGUGACGUAAGCCGACUAAAGACAGAAGAGCUAAAGUUUAAUCAUGGAAUGGCGUGUAGACAAGCGCUGAAUCGAUGCAUAGAAACUCACAAAUCACAUAAUAGCAAUAGUAACAGUACUGAUAUUAAAUUUAUGACGAUCAAAACAGGAUAUCAGGUGAGAGUAGCACACAUUAUAUGUUAAAACAUUUAUUAAUGCAUCAUUUUAGUUUUUCAAAUGUAAUUUCUUAAUUUCUUUUUAUGAGUAGAAAUUAAAUACAUAUAACAAAAUUUCAAAAACAACACAAUAACACACUAUUUACUAAACUAAAACAGUUAUAAGUUUAAUUUUUAAAAACUGAAUUAUAUUGAAAUUUUAGUAAAAUGGAUUAGUAUAAUAUAGUACAGUUAACUAUAAAAUAUUAGUUAUUUUUUUCCAUGUGACAUCCCAAAAUAUCAUAUUCACAUAUAAUAUAAUAGGAUUCAGCUAUUACAAUAUGUGAAAGCAGUUAAGAGAUAAAGAUGACAGUAUUUAAAUAUUUAUACAUUCAUCCAAAUUUAGUGGAAAUUAAAACGAAAUAAAAACUUGAGUACAGGUUCCCCAGAGUUCCCCAAAAUACAUGAUAAAAUAAGGAUCCAAGGAUGCCUAGAGAGUGUUUCCAAAAAUAACAAGCUAUUGAAAUAAGAACUAAUAAACGUCCUAAGUACUAGGGGCUGGAUCUUCCUCAAUCUCCAACGCUUGCUCCAAGGGUACCUCAUCACCUACUGCUUACAUCCAAAGGAUUGGAUGAUCAUCGCAAAGGGGAAGGCAAACACAUACAAACAUACAAUGCAAGGGUGAGCUGGGUAUAUAAAAAAAAAGCAUGUUAUCAAUCAAGUAUUUCAAGCAAGUAAGGACCAUAACACCAUACAGACUAUGACCAAAUGUAUUUUGUUGAUACCAAGGACCGACCACGUGAUUUGACCAUCCAGACUAGUAUGAAAUGUCGAGUUCCAGGGGUUUGUGCACCCGGGUGGUGUAGUAACUGGAAAACCAUCAACUGCCACCCGAGGUUAGUCCGUUAUAACUCACCCAAGAACCUAUGGGCUAGGACCUCCUGCUAUUCUCACCACAUGAAUCAUCACUCUCUACUUGAGCAUGGAUGAUCAUUAGAAUGUCAGGAUAAACCCCAUCCUGAACUCCGGCCAUUCAUACGGUCAAUCACAACAACUACAUGGCACCAUCAUGUAACCUCCCUUGAGGAUCAUGGAAUUACGUCCAUUAAUCAUACUUUAUACAUACAUGCUUUCAAACUAUAUUUCCCAACAUUUAAUCAAUUCAUAAUCCCCUCUUGUUUCAUCAAACAUAGAAUUUUAUAGUCAUCUAAGUGUAUUCAUGCUAUAUUAACUCAUACCAAACCCAUAUAUCAUCACACAACAUCAACCAUGUCAUAAAACAACUCAUACAUUACAUACUUUCACAAAACCAUCACUUAUUAACACAAAUUUCUUUAUGACUUUUAAUUAUCAAUACUUAAGUAAUUCAAACAGCCAUGAGACCCUCACCAAUGGAUCUGGAAGGGUCAAAAACCCCUAGAACGACCUAGAGAACGUCCAAAACGGACCUCCGGAACUCUCGAAACGUCAAAAACAAAAAUGACAGCAGAAACAGUGUGCUGAAUGGCGCCCAGCGCCAUUCAGGUGGCGCCCAGCGCCAGGAAACAGAACCAAAUGGCGCCCAGCGUGGAUUCUGCAGGUUUUAUGCAGAGUUUGCACAACUCACACCCCUAAGUUCCGUUUUAGACCUUUUUAUGAAUUUCUAAUCAUUAUAACUCGAAAUUUAGGUGUAUUGAAACUUGUCUAAAGGUGUAUAAACAUUCCUAACCUCAAUUCCUAACAACUAUGCAUAGAUUUACACUCAAAAACCUCAAUUCUCUUAACUUAUCUAUCCAAAUCUAAUUCUACUAGUUAGAUACUGUUUUUACCACUUUUAAGGCUUCUAAUAAGUCACAAUUGACUCAAUCAAAUUGUCCCCACUGCCCACUUACACCCUAGAUCUCAAUUACUCAAAAACACCCUCUCACUUCCUCUAAACUCACUUAAAACACUAGUUUUUCCUCAACUUAAGGGCUCAAUUCUAAAUUUAUCACUUAAGGACUGUUUUUGUUCAUUUUGACACUUCUAACAAGUCAUAUUUGACUUAUCUAUGUGGUCUAAACUGGUCAAUACUCUUUAUGACUCCAACUUCCAAAUUUGACUACCUUAGUUCCCUUAAUUUGAUCUAGUAACUUCCUAACAUAGAAUUAUAACUUCCAUAAUCAGACUUUGUUAUUUAUGAUCUAUAUUUUCUGUUUUGAGCUGCUACUGUAUUCUUGUUAAUGUGGUGAUAGUUCACUAAGAAAAUGUGAAAUAUAUUUUUUUCUGAUUUUUUCUAUAUACUAAAAAAAUUAAUAAUGUGAAUGUGACUGAAGUGUGUCAGGCCUAACCAUACUUUUCCAUUUUUUUUUUAUACAAUUCUUGACAACAUUUGCUGUUAUGGGUAGAUAAAGAUAAAUUUUACAGUAAAGCCUGAUUAUAAAAUAAGUUUACUUUUUUUGAUGAUGAUAAUUGUCAUCAUUAAUAUGAAUACAGGUGAAACUUAUAUAAACUGCAGAGUGGUUGUGUUUUCAUAGAAAUUUCGGCAUUAAAUAAUAUAUAUUAGGAAAUUGAAAGAAAUUGGGUGCAAGCUUUUAUUUUGUUUCUUCUUUGCUUAAUGAUGCAGUUUCAGGUUCAUUUAAAGUUAUGUUAAGUGUUGCAAAUGAUGAAAUUUGGAGGAAGGCUUGGUGUUCAAUACUUGGAUGUUGGUUCUUGGUCAACUAUUGCAGUAGCUUUAAUUCUUGCAUUUUUCAGCUAGAUUGAGGUUGAAGUGAAUUCAUCAUAUUGAUUAGAAGUUGUUGGACCUACUUUAGGUAUUAAAAAUUGGCAGAUUUUGGAGUCUGGUGCAGCAACUUGUUUCUAGAAGGAAGCUGGACGUUGAACCAAUUUUUGGCUUGCAGGUUUUUGGUGCAGUUUUAGCACUGUUGGAGCAACCAAAGGUCUUAAAUGGAACUCGAAAAGUGCUUCAUGAUGCCGCUUGAACUUGGAUAGUCUUUAUUAUUAGUUCUCAUUUACAUUUGCUCUUCCAUUGUCAACUGUUUUCUUAUGUAGAAGUAGAAUUUAAAUGUUUUUUCUCUGUACUGAAGUGUAAGAACUUGUAGUGUUGUAGUGUUGUGACAGCAAGUAUAUUAUGUAAAAGACUACAAACAUAUUAUGCAAUAUUACUUGAUUAUAUCUCCUUUUCAAUUGUCCUUCUCUAAUAGAAAUAUUAGUAGUUAGUUUAACUUAUGUCAUGAAAAAUUUAUAAUCUAAAUUAGUGGAAUGAAACUAAAGCCUUUCUACAGUAGAAAUAGUGGAAUUACUGAAGGCUUUUGUCCUUCGGUAAACCGAAGGCUUUUGACUUUUGGUAAUUACCGAAGGCUUUUGGUCGUCGGUAAUUACCGAAGGGCAAAAGCUGUCGGUAAACGUUAGCGACAAAGAUUUUACCGACGACCUUUUGACCGUCGCUGAGUCGUCGGUAAUGGGUCUUUACCGACGCUUCUGGCGCUUUCCGAGGGAUUUUGACCUUCAGUAAUACCUUUCAUUACUGAAGUGAUCUCUCUCGUCAACAACUAUAUCAGAUUUCGUAAGUCAAAAAAAAUUUCGUACAAUCCUUCCUUUAGGGUCCUUUACUUCUCAAUGAUGAGGAGAAAGCCAUUUCCUCUUGUCCUUCUGCCAUAGAUACUGUAUCCUUCUUUCUUACAUGCCUUAAUGGACUCAAUACAAUAGGAGGUUAACACAUUCAAAAUAUAUAAUCUGUUUCUUUUAUAGUUGCCUCAACCUAGAUGUUUAUAUGUAAAAACAUAAUGUAAUAUAAGGCUAAUGUUUUGUUUCCGAUUUCCAGGUGUUGGCAUACUCUCAGCUCCUUAUGCUCUUGCAAUAGGAGGCUGGUUAAGCUUGGUUCUUCUGUUUUCCACUGCCGCUGCUGCAUUUUACAUUAGCCUUCUGAUUAAAAGAUACAUGGAUAAAGACUCAAACAUUCGAACCUACCUAAUAUAGGGAAACUUACAUUUGGAAAGACAGAAAAACUGAUAGUGUCAAUAAUCAUGUACACAAAACUAUAUCUGGUUCCAAUAGGAUUCUUGAUUCUAGAAGGUGAUAACUUGAGUAACAUAUUCUCCUUUAUGAUGAAAACCAACUCCGUCAAAUGUUGCAUUCCAUGUUAUUGAAAGAUGAUGAGAACAGAAGCAAAGACUCCACUUGCAGAUAGAUAAGAGAGUAGACUCAAGUAUUCCAACCAAACUGUGGAUAAGAUGAUAAAGGCAACCAUAAUAAAAAAAUAAUUGCUUCCCACCAAUUGCUAAGCCUGCUAUGUGAACCUUUCCAAUGGGGAAUAUGUUGCUCAAGUUAUCACCUUCUAGAAUCAAGAAUCCUAUUAGAACCAGAUAUAGUUCUGUGUACAUGAUUAUUGACACUAUUAGUCUUCCCGUCUUUCCAAAUGCAAGUUCUCCUAUAUCAGGGUAGGUUCGAAUGUUUGAGUUGUUAUCCAUGCAUCUUUUAAUUAGAAGGCCCAUGUAAAAUGCAGCAGUGAGAAUUAAAAACAGAAGAACCAAGCUUAACCAGCCUCCUGUUGCUUCCAAUGAAGUACAAGAAUAGGGUAACGAACAUUUUUAUUGAUCACAGUGUUGGUAUUGAGCACCACCAUUUUAUUAUUGCACAGUGUUGGUAUUGAGCACCGGCAAUGGAAAACCAUUCAUUCUACUCCUCUUGGAAAUAAGGGUGAACAAAAGCAUAGAUAAAUUCAAUUUGGUGGUAGUGCUCAACACAGGUGAACUUUUGCCUUUUAUUGUUUCGAAAGAAAGAACAGUAUACUUUUUUAUGUUUGAGACACGUUUUUGUUAUUAUUAUCACUUUUUUAUUUAUCUAUCAGUUUGACUAGUGGAUUUUAUCACUUUGCCACUGGUUUGGAGUUUUUUGCCCUAGUUGUGCGAAAUGAUUUUAGAUUCAACAGUCUACUAUUAAACCAAUUUGUACAAAUUUUGCCUGUACUUCUGUAGCCAAGCCCAUCAUGGUUUUAGUUAUGGUCCCAUCAAGUGAUGUAUAUUUUAGAAGAAUCAUUCAUUAUUCAUUGAAUAAAAUUAAUCACAGUUAGCUAUUCUAUAUUUCAAGUUUCUUACAUCCAUGAAAUACUACAGAUUGUUUAAACAACACUAUGCUAGGCUUCGUCCUGUCCUUGAUGAGUAAUCCUUGUUAAAAUACUGAACACUUUGGAAAGGUCUGUCUGUCUGUGCUACCCGUCACACUGAACACUGAACAAUUCAAAAUAUGGGAACUUCUCAAUUUGUGCAUGGCCUCCUUUUUCCUGGUCUGGGAUCUUCCCCGAAACAAAAAUUGAUAUCAGCUCAGAACAAGAUAGUAAUUUAAUCCGAUAUUUUAUAUAGCAUGCAAGUCCUACUAACAUGGAAUUCAAGUGACGCUUGCUCUUUCUACCUUUUUCUUGGUUUUAAGCUGUUACAGCUUUUUUUGUUGAAGCUUGAAUUUGGUGAACAGGUAGUUUUGGCAAAAUAGAGAGUUGAUGAAUAUACUUACUUUGAGUUGAUACAACAGAUUGGCACCCAACACAGCGUAAGUAUUUUCCAUAUGAAUUGGGUUCAUUCAAAUUGUAAAAUUUUCCAGUAAACAAGGAAUAGUUACUCCAUUGUAAUAAUCAAGAUCUUUUUGUAAAAAUUUUUAAACCCAUUCUAAAAGGUGGCAUUUUAUAGUUCAUUGAUAGUGUAACAAAAUUAUUUGAAAAUAAAAAACCAAAAUUAAAUUACUUGAUAAAAUAAAUUUAAAAACUAAAAUUUAAAAAAAAAAUGGAUGUGUAUAUUCGUUUGGCCCUGAAACGGAUGUCGAUAUCCGUCGACGGAUAUCCACAUCCGUUAGGGCCAAACGGAUGUGCGACAUCCGUUUAUACCUGGACGUCUUCUUCCUCAUACGUACACAGACAACCUCGCACAGACCCACAGCAACGGAAACACAUAGAGAAAUGCAGAAUCUUAAACAAUAUAUUAUAUACAUUUACAAAACAAGGUUCGAAGAACCUACCUUCUCGUAAACCAAGAGUCAAAAACGAACACACUGCUACAUCGCUGCACACACCUGUCACGCCGUCACACACACCAAAGGCUGGAAAGCACCACGAACACUACAAAAAUAAUAUAUUUUAAUAGGGGUUAGUGUUUGGCGGUUUUCAAAACCUCCAAUAAUUUCUGCGGUUAAAACCAUCCCAAACUUUUUCUUUUAAAUAAUUUUCUACUAACCCUAGUUUCCUCUCCUUGCUUCUUCAUUUUCUCCUAACCCAUUCCCGCUUCUCAACCUCUGUGGUCCCAUUUUCCCUCAAUCAUAUCCUUUUCCUGCUUCGUUUGUUCAUCUUCAAAGACGGUGUAGGGCUCUUGGGGCUUGAUCGCAAUCGAGACUUGGAAACAAAUCUGUCAAGAAGAGAAACAAGGAUGCCCCGUCGCGGAGAAGCUGAUAGAGUCAUACCUAAUCCACUGCAUGAUGGCCUCCGUCCGUGGGUGUGGUGGCAGCGGUGUUUUCUUUGCGACAACGGUGCUUCAGCGUCUUCAUUCUUCGUUGGCAUCUAUGAAAGAUCUGGAAUGAAGGCUCCUCUGAUUGCUGAUGACAUCUAUGAAAUUAUCAUCAAGGUAAUUAUACUUUUGUUGCCAUGAAUUUGAAAAUUUUCUGUCUGAAUUUUUUAUUUGUUUAACUGUUUAUGUAUAAUGGAUCUGCUGUUGUAGUUGGAUCAAGUUUCAAAAUUAUGAGUUGUAGGCCAUUGAGUGUUUUAGUAUAAUCACUUACGCUGUGUUCUUUUCAGUAGAAGUUACUGUAUAAGCGGAUUAGAGAAGAUGAAUUUGCGAGAUGACUCGUGUUCUCUUGCAGUUGUUUGCGCUGAUUUGGGAUGAAACAUUUCAGCUGAUUUGCCAAAAUACACUGUGCAUCCGAUCCCGCAAAUAUGAGAAGAUUUGCGCUGAUUGUUACGGCAAAGACGUUUCUACCCCUGUACGAAAAUAACAUUUGCAACAGCAAGCCAUGCACUGUGCCUUGAUAAGACCGAACCCAUGCACUGUGCUUUCACGAGUUUGCACUGCCUAGCAUGUGAUGCCCCUGCUGCUCGGCGUGAUGCACUUUGUUUCACACAAAGCUUUUGUAGAGCACUGCCUCUGCCUAGAUUCCCUGCGUGACAAAACAAUUCGAGGAGAGAAUCUGGCUGAUGUUUGAAUUUUAAACCCCAACUCCAUUAAUAAGACUCUGCUUGGUAGAUAAGGUUGGUGUGUAUUAAAUCGUGCUGUGUUUACAUAGAGAGGAACUAACAACAGAAGAUAUUGACAUUGAGGAGGUUUGGGUCUUGAGAGUGAGGGGCUGUGAUAGAGCGCAGGUAAUCUAUGCUUCCAUUGUUUAUGUCUUUGUUGCAGGUUUGUUGCAGGUUGAAGCCAUUUCCAACAUGUGACCAACACAUUUGGAGAGGAAGAAUGUUGUUCAUGAUGAUGAAGGAGUCCAUGCAGCCAACCAAACGGCAAGGAGGGAUUAAACAAGGGAAGAUUUCAUGCAGGAAGGAACACCCAGACGCCGUGUUGCAGCACUGUGUAAGUGUGAAAGGAGGGCUAUCCGGAUACAUUCAUGGCGUAUCCGGAUCCAGGGUGCUGUUCAAAAUCCAAUAACGGUGUAUCCGGAUACAAGUAGGGCGUAUCCGGAUCCACUGGAACAACUUCCAUGCACCUCACGAUCCUCGUGACGUUGUCGGCGUUAACGGCAGUUGGCGUUUCCGGUGCCGUCUUCUCCACCAAGUUCGUCUCUCUAGUUGGAGGUGGUCGAAGGACUUCGAAGGUUGGCGUUCGGAGUGGUGUUCGGAGUGGCGACGGUGGCUUUGGUGUCCACGAGAAGGGCAGUGGGUUGGGUCCUUGAUGCAGCCCUUGCAGCAGCAGCAACACAGAAGGGAGUUUAACCAUUUCGUUAUAUAAUGCAGCAGCCUAACCAUUUGUAUGCCUUGCAGGUUUUUUUCUAAGCAAAAGGUGCUUUUGAGAGGCUACGGAGGUCAAGUAUUUACCAUCGUUGUGGUGGUUUGUGGACGUCUUUGUGGUGGUUUGUGGACGUCUUUGCUGAGAUUUAUACUGUGGAAAGGAGUCCCUCCAACUACAACUUCGUAAAGUAAGUUGUGAAGUUAGAUACUAUACUUUGUAAGAAUUUAUGGUUAACCAUUGUAUGAUAUAACAUAUUCAUGUGUUUAUUUUUUUAACAGCUUGCUUUUGGAAUUGUGACUUCGUUAAAAUCUUCGUUGAAAGCAUGUAUUCAGCAUUGCUUCAAAUCUUGGUUGAAAGUAUCAUCACUGUCUUCAAGAGGUACAUAUGAGAUUGCUAUGUUUAAAUAAUAUGAAUGAAAGUCUGCUUUUUUUGUACUGGACAUGUAUUUUGUAUAGUUAUUAUAUGAAUGCAUAAAUAUAUUUAAUGAAUAGAUUAUUAUAUGAAUAUAUGAAUUUAGUAAUACGGUUUAUUUGAGUUUUGUUUUUGAAGUUGUUAAAUUGUAUAUAUUUGGUUAUUAAAUAUAUUAGAAGAAGAAUUACAUUUAUGAACACAUAUUAUGUUUUUUGUAUUUUUAUAACUAAUUAUAUUAAUAUAUAAUGUAUUAUGUUUAUUUAAUGUAAUGAUGUAUUAUGUGAAAAUUAAUAUAUAAUAUUUAUUUAAUGUAUUAUGUGAAAUUUAAUGUGUAAUAUUUAUUUAAUGUAACAAUGUGUAAUAAUUAUUUAUAAUAUUAAGAUAUGAUGUAUGAAUGUAUGACCAUCUGUUUGUUUGAUUAAUAUAUGAAUGUAUGAUUUUAAUUAUAGUAUUUAUAUUUGGUUAAGUAAAAAUAGAUGGAAGAAGAAUUAGAUUUAUCAUAUUUGGAUCGUGAAGAUAUAGAUGAUGAUGUGCUUGGCGUAGACUUCAAUAUUAUCUCAAUUAUACAAAGGCACUUAGAAAUAACGACUGCUAUGGCUUCAGUAACAAUGUUAUGCAUUGUUGCACACGCAUUGACUAUAUUGGAAAUGUACUGGAGUGAUUCUAGUAGUGUAAGUAUUUCCCUACCAGAAAGAGAUCGUCGUAGGGAGAAAUUAAUGUCAUAUCUUGUGCACACUAAUCGGUGCCACGACAUUAUUAGGAUGGGUCCAGAGGCAUUUAUUAAUCUUUGUGAAAGACUAAGAUCAACUGGGUUAGUUAAGGACAGCAUUCGGUCGACAGUCGCGCAACAAGUGGCUCAAUUUCUUCAUAUAAUUGGCCAUAAUGUUAAGAAUCGAAGUGUCGGUUUUUUCUUCCAUCGAUCGGGUUCGAUGGUUAGCAGACACUUUCACAAUGUGUUGGCUGCAGUUAUAACUUUGGAAUCUGAAUUUCUCAUCCAACCCUCAGGAAAUCAGGUUCAACCAUAUGUCUUGAACAACAAUCGAUUUUACCCGUACUUUAAGGUACCGAUUCAAAAACAGUUGUAUAGUUUGUGUGAUUAAGUUUUGAUAACAAAUGUAGACUCUUAUCAUGUAUUCAUAUUUUUAUGUUUAGGAUUGUUUAGGGGCCAUAGANGGUACUCAUGUUCGUGUGAAGGUUCCAAGAUCUGAUGCUCCGAGAUUUCGAGGAAGAAAAGAUUGGCCNACUCAAAAUGUGUUCGCUGCGUGUGAUUUUGACAUGAAAUUCACAUAUGUCCUUGCUGGGUGGGAAGGCACUGCAUCGGAUUCAAGAAUUUUAAAAAAUGCUCUUGAUCGAGAUGAUCCGUUAGUUAUCCCCCAAGGUCAGUGACCACAUUACGAUNUUNNNGNNUAAAUAGCGAUAUAUGUGANUANUGACUAAUUAGAUGUACAUGUCCNAAAAUGUAGGAAAAUACUACCUCGGUGAUGCUGGAUUUAUGUUGAAAAGCACAGUUUUGACUCCAUAUAGAGGCGUCAGAUAUCACCUUAAGGAAUAUACACGUAGAGGACCACAAAAUGCACGCGAGUUGUUUAAUCAUCGACAUUCAUCGUUGAGAAAUGUUAUUGAAAGAACUUUUGGUGUGUUGAAAAAAAGAUUCCCUAUCAUUGCAAGUGGCACUGAACCACACUAUGAAUUGGAGACGAUGACAGAGAUUAUCUUAGCAUGUUGUAUCUUACACAACUUCCUUCGUAGCGUGGAUCAUGAUGACUCAUUACUUGCCGAAGUUGAUAAUGAGUUGACUGAAAGUGAAGAGCAUAAUGUGUCAUCGUCUCAAGUUAGGGAAGAGGAUCAUAGGAUGGGUAGUAGUAUUAGGGAUGCCAUAGCAGAUCAUAUGUGGCGAGAUUAUCAGAACUCUUAGUUAUUGUAUUUUAUUUUGAUUGUAUGACUCUUUGUUGUUUAUAUUUAUGAGAAUGAAGAUUUAUUAUGGAUGUUUACUCUUCAUUUCUAACUAAUUUGUUUAUCAAGUAGGUAUAAAAUGAAUAGAGGUAAGGCACACGCCACUGAGUCCUCUGCUCCUACUAGAGAGUUCAUAAAAUGGACUGAGGAUAUGGACGCACGUCUCCUGCACUGUAUGAUUGAGGAAUCAAGGAUUGGUAAUAGGGUUGAUGGGAGUUGGACAUCCCAAGCGUAUANUAAUAUUGUUGAUCAUCUACAUGAGUCUGGGUAUGUCGCCAUAACAAAAAAUAAUGUUAAAAACCGUCAGAAAGUCUUGAAAGAUAAAUGGCGUGAGGUUCAUGACCUANUUUCUGGAUUAAGCNGUUUUGCUUGGAACCCCAUUACUAUGCGAUUUGAUGCAGAGGACGAAGUCUGGAUGGACCUCAUUCAGGUAUAUUAAAAUAAAUACAAAGAAUUUGGCAAUAUUCAAUAUCACAUAAUAUGAACAAUUAUAUUUGUCAUGUUUGUUGUGCAGUCGAGGCCAACCGCGGCAAAGUGGAGAGUGAACAGUAUCCGCCAUUACGAUUUAAUGGUGGAGUUAUGGGCUGCAGAUCGAGCUACAGGUAGCGGUGUUCGGACCGCUNGUCAAAUACGNCGAGGACGGGAUACGCUUCGUGUUAAUGUUGACCUCAAUCAGAAUAUUGAGUACACUCCUGAGCAGCCAGACUGGAUGGGGUAUAGAGACCCUACUCCGCCAUCACCUCCACCCUCAGUUGAUGAAUAUAGUCCAGGUGGGACUCAAUCUGUGCCUUCAGUCCCAUCCGGUGGGACUUCAUCCUCAAGAGGUUCGAAAAGGAAGGCAGCUAUGGUGGAUGUUGUUGAAUCCCAAUUUGAGAAGUUCACUACNAGCCUGGACGGUUUCACCAAUGUCCUUAGUUCAUCAAAUGUUUAUUUUGGUGUUAUUUCUAAUGCAGCAGUUGAACAGGUCACAACCAUGAAAGAAAGAAAUGAAAUACUACGUCGGUCCACAAGCUACACUUACACAGAAUCUGACAUUUAUAAUGUGCUGACUGGUAUGAACAUAUCUGAUGAAUCCCAAUUGGACCAAUGCUAUGACUUCUUAUGUGACAAGCCCAAAUGUGUUAAGAAGUUGAUGGGACUCCCACCUCACAAAAGGUGGAAUAAAUUAUGUCAAAUGUUCUACAGCGGUGAUUCUUAGGCUGUAUUAUGUAACAACUUCUAUUACAUCUUUAUUAUGACAUGUACUAUUUGGAUGUCAGUAUGACUUGUUAAUUCGGAUGUAUGAGUAUUGGACAUUAUUGUUAUGAUUAUUAUGUAAUGAUUUCACUUUGCUUCUAAGUAAUUUAAAUAUUCACUACUAUGUUAUCACUAACGUUUUUAUUCUACAAAAUAUUGUUUUGUUCAAGAAAUUCUUAAAUGGCCUCUUCAUCAACCAAAAGGCCUAGAAAAAGUCGCAAGGGAAAAGAGACUCAAAAUCAGACAGAAGAUGCAGCUAAUAUCAGACCAUUUGAUGAAGAACAAUUAGAUCAGCGUCGUUUUUUCACUCACAGCCAUCAAAUGGAAAACUAUGCAGUUGAUUUCUACACUAGGAAUAUUGUUCUUCCAAAGAUAAUGAAUUUCGAAUCAUUUGNCGGUUCAGGAUUAGUUUUCCAACAUAAUCUUCUAUUUCAAGGGGUGGUGGAAUUUCUUACAUUGCAGGGACCCUUUUAUCCAGACUUAAUCAAAGUUUUUUACUCAAAUCUGAAGAUUUCUGGAAAUGGAUAUUUGAUGAGUGAGGUGAACAAAAGAAGAAUUAGAUUGAAACCAGCUGAUUGGUUGAAUGUUGCUAAUAUGAAANNNNNNNNNNNNNNNNNNNNNNNNNNNNNNNNNNNNNNNNNNNNNNNNNNNNNNNNNNNNNNNNNNNNNNNNNNNNNNNNNNNNNNNNNNNNNNNNNNNNNNNNNNNNNNNNNNNNNNNNNNNNNNNNNNNNNNNNNNNNNNNNNNNNNNNNNNNNNNNNNNNNNNNNNNNNNNNNNNNNNNNNNNNNNNNNNNNNNNNNNNNNNNNNNNNNNNNNNNNNNNNNNNNNNNNNNNNNNNNNNNNNNNNNNNNNNNNNNNNNNNNNNNNNNNNNNNNNNNNNNNNNNNNNNNNNNNNNNNNNNNNNNNNNNNNNNNNNNNNNNNNNNNNNNNNNNNNNNNNNNNNNNNNNNNNNNNNNNNNNNNNNNNNNNNNNNNNNNNNNNNNNNNNNNNNNNNNNNNNNNNNNNNNNNNNNNNNNNNNNNNNNNNNNNNNNNNNNNNNNNNNNNNNNNNNNNNNNNNNNNNNNNNNNNNNNNNNNNNNNNNNNNNNNNNNNNNNNNNNNNNNNNNNNNNNNNNNNNNNNNNNNNNNNNNNNNNNNNNNNNNNNNNNNNNNNNNNNNNNNNNNNNNNNNNNNNNNNNNNNNNNNNNNNNNNNNNNNNNNNNNNNNNNNNNNNNNNNNNNNNNNNNNNNNNNNNNNNNNNNNNNNNNNNNNNNNNNNNNNNNNNNNNNNNNNNNNNNNNNNNNNNNNNNNNNNNNNNNNNNNNNNNNNNNNNNNNNNNNNNNNNNNNNNNNNNNNNNNNNNNNNNNNNNNNNNNNNNNNNNNNNNNNNNNNNNNNNNNNNNNNNNNNNNNNNNNNNNNNNNNNNNNNNNNNNNNNNNNNNNNNNNNNNNNNNNNNNNNNNNNNNNNNNNNNNNNNNNNNNNNNNNNNNNNNNNNNNNNNNNNNNNNNNNNNNNNNNNNNNNNNNNNNNNNNNNNNNNNNNNNNNNNNNNNNNNNNNNNNNNNNNNNNNNNNNNNNNNNNNNNNNNNNNNNNNNNNNNNNNNNNNNNNNNNNNNNNNNNNNNNNNNNNNNNNNNNNNNNNNNNNNNNNNNNNNNNNNNNNNNNNNNNNNNNNNNNNNNNNNNNNNNNNNNNNNNNNNNNNNNNNNNNNNNNNNNNNNNNNNNNNNNNNNNNNNNNNNNNNNNNNNNNNNNNNNNNNNNNNNNNNNNNNNNNNNNNNNNNNNNNNNNNNNNNNNNNNNNNNNNNNNNNNNNNNNNNNNNNNNNNNNNNNNNNNNNNNNNNNNNNNNNNNNNNNNNNNNNNNNNNNNNNNNNNNNNNNNNNNNNNNNNNNNNNNNNNNNNNNNNNNNNNNNNNNNNNNNNNNNNNNNNNNNNNNNNNNNNNNNNNNNNNNNNNNNNNNNNNNNNNNNNNNNNNNNNNNNNNNNNNNNNNNNNNNNNNNNNNNNNNNNNNNNNNNNNNNNNNNNNNNNNNNNNNNNNNNNNNNNNNNNNNNNNNNNNNNNNNNNNNNNNNNNNNNNNNNNNNNNNNNNNNNNNNNNNNNNNNNNNNNNNNNNNNNNNNNNNNNNNNNNNNNNNNNNNNNNNNNNNNNNNNNNNNNNNNNNNNNNNNNNNNNNNNNNNNNNNNNNNNNNNNNNNNNNNNNNNNNNNNNNNNNNNNNNNNNNNNNNNNNNNNNNNNNNNNNNNNNNNNNNNNNNNNNNNNNNUAUCACAUCAAUCAAAUCCUACACUAAUUCUCACAAACUUUACCCUCAAAUCCACCCUCAAUUACCCACAAAUCUACUCAAAAAAACAACAACAAAAUUACCCUCAAAUCCACUCAAAUCCACUCAAAUCAUCUCCCCCAAAUCAUCUCCCCCUAAUCCUUUCAAAAGAACAGAGGCUUAGUAUGGCUGUUAUAUUGUGCAUUUCUGAUUUGGUUUGUAUUUCUGAUGUUAUGUGCUUUAAAUUUUGUUUGGCUAUUGUUUUGGUAUGAUGGGAUUUUCACUUGUCUUGUUUUCUGUUAUGCUUCAGAAUGCUGCUCGAUUGGAUAGUGAAAUAAUCUAUGAUAGGGACUUUAACUAUGAUUAUUUUGGUUUCAAAACCCUUGAGAGGUCCUUCCUCUUAAAGGUUCAAGGUAAGGUUGUGGAAAGACUACAACACAUGUUGAUGAGGGUUGCUGUUGGAAUUCAUAACGAAGACAUCGAUUCUGCUGUCAAAACAUACCACCUGAUGUCUCAACGGGGGUUCACUCAUGCAUCUCCAACUCUUUUCAAUGCGGGAACACCUACACCGCAGGUACAGUAUAUGCUAAUGCUCUAUAUCUCCAAAUCUUUCUCUUUUUGUAGGCAUGCAUUUUUGAUAUUUGAUAAUCCAUAACCACCCUAAUGCAGUUUAGCUUUAACGUUGUAUAGAAAGUAACACAGCAUACUUCAACAACAUGGCAUGUGAUGUGACUAUCUCUGAUUCAAGUUUAUCAUAAUACAGUCCUACUUGUAUUUGCACUAUUGUUGUCGUGUACCAGUACGGCAUGUUGCGGGGUCCAUUGAAAGAGAUAGGAAUUUUUUAAAUGGAAAGCCCUGAAAGUGAAAAUGCUAGUUUUAUGUGGUCCAUUUCGUUUUGCAUCAACUAAUGGCUAAAUUAUCUUCAACACCCAGCAGCUACUUCAAUAAUGCCUGGUCGCCUGCACUUAAUAAUAAAUCUUUGAUUAUCGAAGCUUUGUGGAAAGUUCUAACUUAUCACUUCCAUUGCUUCAUACAUAAAUUUGGAAGGCCCUACGUAUGCUAGUUCAAACAAUUGCCAUGUGCUUUGAACCAAAGGGCAACAUAAAAAGACAAGCCAUAAUGAAGAACAACAACAGCCAUGUGAUUUGGCAAAGAAAGCUCCGGUUUUCUGUCUGAAAUCUCAAAAGAGUAUCUAGCAUGGCUUGCUAUGUGUGCACAAUCAACGCUAAUUAAUAUAAUUUCACCAUUUGUUUUCCAAGCUUGGACCCUUGUGUUUUUCUACAUUAUUUAUAAAUUUUGGCUACAUUUCUGUAAGUGCUUUGUAUGUAACCCUUUUUCUGUUUACUAAUAAUAUCUCUCUUUUCCACCAUUUGCAGGUUCUUGAAGAUCCAGAGACCACAAAGCAUGAACAGCCAUUAGCAUUCUCUUGAAUAAAUAGUAAAUAGUGUAUUUCCAGCAGCAAGCUGUGAAAUAAUCUAAUUGUUAUCUAACUUUUGUUUAUAUAUGCCAUCGUAUUGUUGUGUGUGUGUUCAUGUGGAAUCUUGCAACAUUUUUCAGGAGCAGAAGUUGAGAAGGAUCUUCGAAUUCAGAAGAGCAUACUCCCUGCAGUUGGCCAGGUACUUUUUCUUUUUCUCGUGUCUGGACCUUCUUAGUGGGUUCCACCUGCCUAUAAUUUCUUCAAUAUUACAUGUUUAUCAUUCUUAUGCUGUGAGAUUUAACUGUCUAUUCUGUAGCAAAACUUUCUACUUUCAUUUGCUAUGUAUUGUUAUUGCAUCUUUUGUUCAGCACAUUGACCAACUUUAUUAUUGGAGUUGUUUUCUGUUUGUGAUUUAUGUGGAAAUGGAAAUUGGUUAUCAUGCUUCCAGAGUUAGAAAAUAUGAAUUCGUCAUUUGGUUAGUUGAAAAUUAAAAGCAAGACUUUUGCUAUUUCUUAUUUCUCUUUAUUGUUAUUUGUCAUUCAUGUAGAUAGAAAUAAGAGCUGAUCUGAUGGAUGCCCGUAUGCGUUCAAAAGGUAUAUUCAUUUUCUUUUUAAAUUCCUUCCUUGUUCUUUUGUCUUGAAUCACUCAUUUUUGCAUCCUGAAACAAACUUUUGUUGCAGAUCAGUUCUACAAGAAGUUCUAGAUCAGAAAAGUGCAUUUCACAGCUUAAAGCAUGAUGUAUUGCCAUAUCUAGUCUGGAGCCAACUGGUUAGUUGUUAAUGGUUUUUCACGAGAUAGGUUAGGUAUUGUUGAACUUAUAAGGUGUUGUUAAUGGUUAGUUCCUAAUUAAACUAAUCAACUAAUGAUUUAGAAGUGUAUCUUUGGCAUUAUAGCUAUUGUUGUUUUAAAAACCGAAAUACAUAGGAUUUUCAUUAUGAAUUAUGCCUCUCAAUGCAGUGUCUGAACACUUGCAGACUCUUGAAAGGUAGAUUUUUUCUAUACUGAGAAAAUAUAAAGUUAUAAUAUUAAGCUAAUUGUAGAAAAUUAAUUUCAUCAGAAAACAAUAUGUGAGUGAAGAAAUAUAAUAUUUACUUCAUGAAUUUGCUAGAGCUCCUGCAUGUGUAGCUGCAAAUGAUGUCACCUACUACACGGGUCAACACGAUAUAGAACAUGUUUCCUAACUUGGAACUUUAGAAAUAUAAAUAAUCAUACUUUUUAAUUAUUUAAAAAAUUAAUUAGAAUGCAACUCAUGGUCAUCUGGCUAACAUGAUCCAACUCAAUUUUCUGUAAUACACAUAUGAACAUUUCUGUUUUAUACUUGUAUCUCAUGCAUAAUUUCAGUUUAUAUUUCCUGUUUGGUAUUCCAGUUUGGAGGUGUUAUUUGGUGGACACAAUCAACAAGCAUUCUUCGAUAUUAAAGGUACUUGCCAUUUGCUCACCUUGAAUGAGAUCAAAGUAAAAUAUACAUCAUUAUAUAAGAAUGUUCCAAUGCAUCAAAAGCUAAUUCAAGUAUGGUAUUGUUUGGGUUUGAGAUUUGCGGGGAGAUCAAAUCAGAGAAGAAAGGGGUUAAUUCUCUUCUAACAAUCCAUAUAGAGAUUCAUAUAAGGUAAAGUAGAUGAUGCCCCAAUAUAAGCAUCAAGUGAGAAGAAUUUGUUAGGUACUUUAGAACAUGUUUAUUGUAAAAAUAUUGUUAACUUUUUCAUUUUGAGGAUAUUUCAUUGUAUCUGUUUGUGUUAUUUAUAUGUUAUUUACAAGUUUCAGGAUUAUAUUCAUUAUGACUGAUAGAUUUAUAACCUUGUUUAACGUUGAUGGAGGAACUGGACCUUUAUAUCUCAAGUCUAUCAAUAUAUGUAACUCAACAUAUUUGAAAUUGAGGUAGUAGCUGAAUAUUGCAAUUUAAAAUACAGGCACGAAUAUUCUGUUUGGUGUGGUGCACAUGAACUUGGGAUUAUAUUAAGUUAUUUCAAUGCUCAUUUCUUUGGCAGAUCUUUAUCAUGUAAUGAUUUACAUGUUUUUAAGCCCUUUCGACAAUCUUGGUGAGAAUCAAUUGUUUUGGGGUCAAAGACCACUUCAAGUAUGAUUCAUUUCUUUACUUCUUUAUUGCUUAAUAAUUGUUCCUUUCCUAUUUUACGUCAUUCUGAGUUACUGUGCAUGAUAUGCAGGUUGUGUUGUUGCUUUUAUCUGUAAUUGCAUAAAGUUGAGGAGUUUAAUGCCAUGGGAAAAGGGAAGCGUAACUAGAAGCUGGUAUCUUAUUUAUGCCAUUGUUUUCUUUAAUUUAUUUAUGCUUCUUUUAUUCUAUUUUCUAGCUAAGCAUUAAUAUUUACUAUUGAUAUCUUGCCUCUAAUUGAUGCAAGAGGCUUCAAAUUUGAGGACAAAGGUGAAACCAUAGAGAUCAUUACCUCUCCCAGAAGAAGAGUUAUGGAGAAGGAAGUGUGUGAGAAAGAAGAGAACUCCACUUGGGAGGAAGAAAAUAAAAGUGGUUUCAACUUGUGGAAAUGGAGUUUGACUGGUGUUGGAGCCAUGUGUUCUUCUUUGGAAGCCAGCAAAAGAACAAACUAAAGCAGGAUCAGAAGAUCCGGUUCCAGAUCUAUGCUGAUGACAAGGUAAGCUAAUCUCAGUUUUUUUAUUUUCACUAAGUUUGUUCCUUGUAAAACUGAAACUGCAAUAUCAAGAUUUUGGAGUUUCAUUACUGUAUUCAAUAUUGGUUUUUCUAUUAGAAUGAAGAUUCAAUUCUGUGAUUGAUGCUGACAUGUAAUGAAAACCUUUUUAUAGCAUGAAACAUUGAAGUAGAACUCUGCUUUCAUUUAUCAAUCCUAAGAACUGUAUAAACUUAUCUUUUUUAAAUAUUCAGUACAUUUGUGACUUUUUAAAGUGUCAACUAUGUUUGGUUACAGUUUUUGACAAGAUCAUAGAUCAUGAGUAAAAUUCUGAGAAUGAUUUAGUAUUGGGUUUUGUUGUUUGUUUGUUUGAGAAAUGUCAAGGAAAGAAAAAGUAUGUUUACUUGUGGCAAGAUUUUUGGAAUCUUUUGGUGAUUGCAAUUUGGAAUAUUAAAUAGUUUACUGGUUUUGGUCCAAUAUUGUUUUAAUUGGUUGUUGGAUUUUGAAGUAGUGAUUGGUUUGGUUGUGAUUUCAGAGGAUUAAGCGAGUGGUGCAGCAUGCAACCAAAUUAAAUGAUGUAAUUUCUGCAGCAAGAGGUAUUCCUAUGAGCAGAGCUCAUAUAAGUGUUGGGGGUUAUUAUGAUGAUCUGUGAAGCAUUGAUUAGGUGAGUUCAUGAAGCGAUUGAAGUGUGCAAUGGAUGAAUAGUUCCAUAAGAUCUAUGAAUCUGGCCAUAUUUUAUAUUGCUGUAAAUAACUGAUGCCAAAUUUCUGUCAAAAAGAAAACGAUGAUGCUAGAUUGUUGAUGUUUACUCUGUAUUUUUUGUGAUCUUGUAAUUUAAGUCACAGAUUGUAGGCACUUCUAUUAUUAUUUGAUUAUUUUUGAAUUAGUAUAUCAAGGUGUUUCUAGCUGUUUUGAUUUUAGUAAUUGCCAAACUCAGUUAAAACAGAACAGGAAAUUAAAAAUGAGUUUACAGUAUGUGUAUAAUAUAUAUAUAUAUAUAUAUAUAUAUAUAUGUGUGUGUGUGUGUGUGGUUUCUCAUCAUAUGUAUAAAUGGUUUUCAAAGUUAGAAUUGAACAUUUUGUUGUUGAUCUGGGUUCCAUUCGAUGCUAGCAAAGGAUUGCUAGGAAAAUAAUAUUGAUGAGUAUUAGAAAGAAAACUAAAAAAUAAAAGACACGAAAGGACAUACCAAAACUAGCAGUUCAAGUAUCUUUGGGUGACUAUUUUGAUGGAAUGAUUUUGAAAAGGGAUUAUUGAUAAAUAAAAAUAAAAAUUUGAGCUAUUACUACAUUUCCGGCUGUUUUUGAAAACCACUGGAAAUAGCGGUUUCUUACAAAACCGCCGGUAAUGUUUAGCGAUACUGUUUUUUCUGGCGCUUUCCCCAAUCACGGGAAACACAUUUUUCAGGAGUUAAAAUCGACGGAAACGCCAAAAAUAACCUUUGGAAAAAUUAUAUAUUUUUGUAGUGGAAAUGCAGAAGAGAAGAAAAGACUGUGGAGAGUUGGAGUCAAAGUUUUACAAAAAAAUAAAAGGUGGGACUGUUACUUAAUUAAUAGGUUAAACAGUAAAAAAUAAAGUAAAAUAGUUAAAAUAAAAUUAUUUAGGUAAUAGAAAAAAAGUUACACAAAAAUGAGGAGGUGAAAAUGGAAAUAGGAAGGUGGAGGAAAUAACCCCCGUCAAGUUUGGUGGCAGUCACAACACAUGCUCGCGAGUGGAUGGAUAUCAUAUAACAUGAUAUGUUAUUUUAUAGCGAACUAAAUUUGAGAAAAUCUUAAUUGGAUCAUAAUACAUAUAGUUAAAACAUAUCUCAACACGGAUUUUUUUAGUAACAUAUUUAUACACUAACGUCUUGUUUUUUUUAUUACUUAGAAUACAUUAACACAAUAAUAAAUAAAUAAUAAAUCAGUAAAAAUAACACAUAUCCAAAAAAAAUUAUGCCAAUAGUUUUGUAAAUAUAAAAUUGUUCUUAUAUGGGACUUAUUUAGAAUAUAUAUUUUACCUUUGUUUCAAGUAUUAUCUUUAACAAGGUGAAAACGAAUCUUAGGAAUACAAAAUUCACUAUAAUAGUAGCUGUUGUGCUUGCUAAUUGUUUUUUUUUUCGUUUUGGCAAUCAUUGUGUUCUUUGAGAUUUUUUUCAUAUGAUAUAGAUGUUUUAGUUUAAGAAAAAAGUCAAAGAUAUCAUUUAAAAGGAAAAUAUGUAUUCCACUUUAACAGAGAGAAAGUCAUGUUCAAAAAAUAUCUACUUGCUUUUUCAACUUUAUCAACCAACUUAUUAAUAUGUAUACUAAAUUCCAAAUUCAUAUUUUUAAAAAGUUUGUUAUAUUCUAAAUUGAUAAAAAAAAAUGUUAUAGAUUGUUCUCAACUUGUUAUGAUAAAAAAAAUACUCAAUUUUACAUACAACAUAAGAUUUAUUAUAUUCAUUUUAUUUUCUUCCUUCUCAACAUGAUUAGAGAACACUAUCUUUAUUUUGCGACUAUUCUCUUUAUCAUUUAAUAAUCACACUGAAAUUUCAUCAUACAUUUUACCUCUUUCUUUAUCAUUACACAUUAUUAAGUAAUAGUUUUUCCCAUCUUUAUGGAAUACAACAAUGAAAAAAAAAUUGACAAAACAUUAAAUUAAAACUAUUUCACAUUUGAAAGGUAAGAUGCGACAUCCCAAAAAUUUUACGUUAAUAUAAUUUUGAAUGAUUAAACAUUAUAAUAUGAUAGAACAGUUUAAUUAUAAUAUGAUAGAACAGUUUAAUAAUGAAGAUAAAGUUAUAAGUUUAUAGACAUCUAAAAUUGACCGUGAAUUUAAAACUUUACUUACAAAGGAUGUAUUUCAAAAUAGCUAAGUCAGCUAAGAAGAAUCCUAAGAACUAGGGAUGGCAACGGGUCGGGUUCGGAUCAGGUAGUGUGAUAUCCGAACCCGACCCGCAUGUAAAAAAGUGUACCCAUACCCGCCGGAUACCCGCAUAAAAAAAAUCCGCGGAUUUUUUUCAACCCGCGGAUACCCGUUUCAACCCGCAAUUUUUUAAAAUCGAGAGAGUCCAAACUUUCUUUUUAGGUUUUCUUUCCUAAUCUUUAAGAUGGGCCAAGCCCAAACCUUUCUAGGGUUCUCCUUUUCCCCUUCCCCUCCAUCUUCUGCGCGUAGCCAACAACAAUAACCCUCAACCCAGAAACAAUAACCCUCAAGAGCUCGAAUUUCCAUCAGCCAAAAACAAUAACCCUCAACCCAGAGCUCGAAUCUUCAUCAGAACAUUCAAAACCUGCAAGAGGAAACAUAAUCACCGAGUCAUUAGCCUCUCACCACAGAAAGCCCCAAAUCUAUGAACCCUAACUGCAGGGAAAACCCCAGAAUUGUGUUCUGCCUCCAUCUUCUUCGAUCAACAAAAUCGCGAGCAUCAUCUUCCCUUUCAACGGCCACCAUGAAUCGCAUCACCUCCACGGCCACCGCAGACUCAGUCAUCACCAUCAUGCACGCCUCGUCGAUGCACUCCGAGUUGAAAAGAAGAGGUUGAACGGUUGAAAUCAAAAAUCAAUCGGCGGAAGUGUUUGAUCGGUGGGAAAGGUGGAAAAAGGCGUUUUAAUCGGUGAAAGUAUAAGAAGUGGUAGAAGAGAUGUGAAUAUGUGAGGAUACCUGAUUUGGAAUAGUGAGACGCGAAAUAGGAGCAUUACACGUUUGCCUCUGCCUGAAAGUUUCUUUUUUUUUUUCAACAGUGAAAGAAGCAUUCAAGGAAGUAGGAGCAUUGUAGCAGGAGAUGAAAAAGCAUGUUUUGUUUGUCGUUACCGUUGACAGUGGUGGGAAUGGAUACGUUGUUGACAAUGGUGGGAAUGGAUGUGUUGGUGGAGAGCAGGCUUCUACGGGAACGCUACAAAGAUGCAUACAGAAUGAAACCCUAAAAAAGAGAUUUGGGCUUUGGCCCAAUUUUAAAACAAAUUUAAAAGAAAAAAAAGACUAACUAAAAAGGUAGAAAAAAAAAUUUAAGAAUAAAAUUGUAAUUUUAUUUUUUUAACGGGUAACGGGUAUCCGCGAGUAUGGAUAGUGUGAUACCCGAACCCGACCCGUUAACAAGCGGGUAUUAAAAUACCCGUUACCCGCUACCCGCGGGUACCUUUUAUCCACGAAUAUUAAAUACCCGUAGCGGAUUUUAUCCGCGGAUAUCCACGGGUACGGGUUUUUUUCCAUCCCUACUAAGAACUAGGCAACUGCAUCUUUUUCAUUCUCCAGUGCUUGCUCCAGGGCACAUCAUCAGCUACUGCUCACAUCCAAAGGAUUGGAUGAUCAUCACAAGGAAGAAGGUAAACACAUACAGCACACACAAUGCAAGGGUAAACUAAGUUCAAACAAACAUACAAGUCAAUUUAAUUCAAUCUAAUAUGUCCAAGAACAUUCACACAUAUGCACUUGUAGGUCAUCAUCGACAUAAACAUCAUUUUCAUACAAUUUACCAAAACAAGUAUCCUAUCAUGUGAAGACUUCUAGACUCGUCCGGACUUAGAAUGGAUGUAGAGUUGGGGCAGGUUGUGCACUUAUGCUGACAUCUACUGCUUUGCAAAGUCAUUGCCGAGGGAUUUCACCCGACCACACACAAGGUUAGUCCGUUACUACGGAAUAGAUAUCUAGUGAUAACGUGAAAAAGAAAAGGGCUGAAACUUUUAAGAUAAAGUUUUACUAAAAUUUUAUUUUUGCUACUAAAAUUGGUCCAACAAUUCACUGCCACAUGUGCACCACUUAAGUGACAUUUUUCUCCGACCUUACAUGAGACUUUUGAAUCAUGGAAAAAUAAGAUUAAAAUAAUUUUAAAUUUCAUACACAAAUUAAAAAAAAAUGUAUAUGUCAAGUCAAUAGUCAUAAUCAAAAUAUCUUUUAAUAGUAAUUAACUUAAAAAAUAAUAAUAUACAAAUAGUUAAGUAAAUAAAAAAUAAAAGAACACUACAAAAUUUGAUAUUAUCACCAGUCAAAAUUUGUCAAUAAUAUUUUAAUUUUUUUAUAUAUAAUCAAAAUUAACGACAGUUUAUUGAUGAUUAAAAAUUAAUGAAUAAAUGUCAAUAUGAUUCAUCUUAUUUUUUCACAUUUAAUUUAUAAACAUAUUUUAUCAUAUUAGACAAAACAUUUGAUUUCCAAUCAGCAGAAAAAUUUACAAAUAUAUUUUUUUUCAAUAAUCAAAAUUUUAUUUUAUAGACAAAUCUUGUUCGAUGAAUUUUAAAAAAUUCAAUUAUCAACAAAUUUACACUAAAUGAAAGUGAGAAAUGUAACGUCAUUUUAUCAGUUAAAAAAUUUGUCAAUAAUAAAAAUUCUAAAUUACUAUUAGGUUUUACUGACUAAAUUUAUCAAUGGAUAUUUACUCAUAGAUAUGUUUCAUUAGUAAUUCAAAUACUAAUUUACUUACGAAUUUUAUUAACAAAUUAUUUAUGUUAAUAAAUUUUGUUUUACAAAAGACUUAUUUUUGUUGGUAAAAUUUUGUUCAUAAUUAAAGAAUUUUUUAUAAUGUAAAUUAAAACCAAAGAGAAUAUAAAAAUAAAAUAAAAAUAGUUUUCCCUUGGUGGUACCAAUUAUCAUCUCUAAUCAUACUAUCCAUAUGUAAAAGCAAUAAUAUAUAAUUAGUUAAGUAAAUAAAAAUAAAAUUAUUUAAAAAAAUAGAAAACAAUUGAAGAUAGUGUCGUUAGUAAAAAAACACUUUUUAUAAUGUUUAUUUAUAUUGAUUAUAAUUCAUCGAGUAUAAAAAGUAGAGUGGUAACAUAACUAUAAAUAAGAACAAUUUUUAUGUCCGUUAUAAUUAUAACAAGUAUAAUAAAUGAACACGGUAACAUUUUUGUUAAAGAAAAAAAAAUUAUACCAAUUCUAGUUUUAAUUAGUAUAAAAAGUGAACACGAUGAUAUUUUUGUAAUAAAUAAAAAAAUUUAUAUCGAUUCUAAUUAAAAAGAGUACAGAAAGUGAACAUAGUAACAUUUUAUAAUAAAUAAGAAAACUUUAUAUAUUAGUUGUAAUAAGAAAAGUUUAGGUGACCUUUCAACCUCUCUCAUAGGUAUUUACUAUCUAAACUUUCUUCUUUCAUUUCAUUUUUCAGUUAGCGAUUGGGGUAAAAUGUGUGCAUUUUUACAAAAAUUAUAACCCAAUUGAGACAGUUCAAAACUUUAGGACCAAACUGAGAUUUUCACACAAAUACGAGGACCAAGAAGGGAUUAAGCUAACAUGUCAGCAUACCACGUCAGCUAAACUUAACGCCGUUUGAGAUCAGUUAACGGUUGGGAUAAAAUGUGUGCAUUUUUACAAAAAUUAUGACCCAAUUGAGACAGUUCAAAACUUGAGGACCGAACUGAGAUUUUCACACAAAUACGAGGACCAAUUGAGGUAUUAAGCCUUUUUUAUAGAUAUAAUAUAUUCGAUUCAAUUCUAAUUUUAUGUUUAAAACUUUUAGGUUAUUAAUUGAUACAUGAGCGAUAACUCUACAUUUUCAUUUUUUUACAGAUAAAUGGUAAUGAAAAAACAGAACUAGCCUUUGUUUGAACAUUUCGCUUUGUAUAUCAAUUUUACUUUAACUUAUAUAAAAAGUAAAACUUUCUAUAUCAAUUUUAUCAUAUUAACAUGCAUCGAAUGGUAAUAUCCGAAAUCUUAAACAUUCGAUCUUCACUUCUGAUUUCUACAAAUUCAAAUUUUUAUAUCUGAUUUUUUUCAUUUUCAGUUCUUUUUUUUAAUUCGAAAUUAGUUUCAUUAGUUUUAAUACAUUCAUAAAAUUAUUUUAUAUUAAUUAAAUUAUAUAAUACAUUAUAAACUCAUAAAUAAAAUGCUAAAAAAAAUAAACUAAUAUAAAAUGAAAUGAGGUGAAAGGUUCAGGGGGUGUAGGUUUUUUUAUAAAGAUGAAAUGAGGUGCAGAGAUGCAAGAAUGUAGGAGUGCAAGGGUGAAGGGAUGUCAGGUGCGACAGUGAUACAUUUUUGGUGAUGGGAAGAAAAUGGAAGUGGAAUCAAUGUUUUGCAUAGAAAUCUUUAAUAAUAAAAAAAUAAACUUUUAAAUCAGUUACUAAUUAGAAACAUUUUAGAAAAUUAGAGGUACAAAUCCUUGAAAGUGCGGCCCAAACAGCACCAGCCCCCUGCUUCUCUUGAUUUAACUCUAGGCCUUUCCAACAAGGGACAUUCCUACAAUUUAAAAUCAGGACCUAUCAGCAAAUAAAAGUAGGGCAUUUCAGCAAUUAAAGAAAUUAAAAUAAAAGUAAAGAAAAAGAAUUUUUAUUGAAAGAUUUUCUAAAAAAGAAUAUUAAUUUCUUAAUUACCAAAAAUACUCUUAAAAACUUAUUUUUAACUAUGAUUUGACAAAAUUACAAAUUUAAAUCAAAACCUUAAAACUAACCUAAUUAUAGAAAAUUAAAAACUAAUAAAAAAUUAAAAAUACCUUCUAAACACGAAAAAAAUGGAUGCGCAUGAAUUUGCUUGAAGGAUCUCAAGCCAUUGCUCUUGUGAAUCAAAUCCUAGAGAACCGAUUUCAGAGAUUGCCCAGCCUUGCUCAUGCUAGUGAUCAGUGCUCAAACAAUUCAUCCAAAAUCUUUCACUGUUUAUGAGUGGACAUAGCCACGCUUAGUUAUUGGCACAAAAUCACAAGGAGUUUUAAGUUCCCACAUCUUCUAACCUCAUUAACUCGCACAUAUAAUUGCUUCUGAGUAGGCUCGAAUUAACUCGCAAACUCCGCGCUUCACUUGUUUAAAAUAAUGGAAAUAAAUAUGAUUUAAAACAAGAGAUAUAAAUUUAAUAAGGUUUAUGUUUAAUAAGAAAUAUUAACUUUAAUAUAAGUGUACUGUAGUUUUAAAUUUUUCAUGAAAUAUUAUUUUUAAUAUUUUAAUAUUUAGUUUAUUUUGAGUUUAUUAAUGAUGAUAAUAUUUAAUUAUUCACUUUUGGUUUUAUAUAACAUUUUAAAUUUUAUCAUUGUCAUGUGAAAAUUUUUUAAACAUACUAAAAGUUCAUAAAAAAGUCUUUCUUUUACAAUUUUUUAUUCUGAAUUUCAGAUGCAAAUUUUGUUACUACAUUUUUACCAUGUAAUUUCAAAUUUAAAACUCGUUACCAUAUAUUUUAAAUGGUUGGUUAUCUUUUAUCUUCUAAAGUUUAAAGAAAUUAUAAUUUUCAUAUUUUAAUAAUAUACUUAUGUUAUUGAAAUUAUUUUUAAAUCAUCAUUUAAAUUUACAUAAUUGGAUUUGAAUGAAACAUUAUUUGUAAUGAUUAAUUAUUUAGUUUAUUAAUAAUGUCAUUAUUCAAUUAUUUAUUUAUUAUUUUACAUCAUUAUUUAAUUAUUAUUAUUAUUAUAUCAAUAUUAUAAUGUUAUUGUAGUUUUAUAUUAUUAUAGAAUUUUAUUAUGUGAUAUAAUACAUUAUUAUUUUUUUUUUAAAUUAUUAAAUUUGUGGAAUUUUUCUUUUUUCAAAUUUUGUUCCCAACUUAAAUACAAACUCUUCUUAUUAUAGGUUAGGAAACAAAAUAAUAUAAUCAUUUCAUCCUACAAUCAUUUCAUUUUAGACUUCCAAUUUCCUAAAAUAUCCCUAAUCAAUAAUAAGAUAAUUAUUUGUUAAUUUUUUGUUUAUUGAAAAUUUCUGUGUACAUUGAUUACACUUCCCUUUUUCUCUUAUCAGAAAACAUACAUUCUUGCACCCCUCUACCUCCUCCACCUCAUUUCAUUUUUAUUAAUAAAUCCUACCCACAUGAUUUGCACGUCUCAAAAUCAUUUUAUUUGAAAUAAAAUUUAAUUGUUUGUAAUAUUUAUAUCAUUAAGAAAUUGUCAUAUUUCAUAAAAACUUUAACAACAUUUUUUCAAAUUAUAAAGCAUUCCGAUCCCAUAUCAAACCUACCAUACAAUCUCACAUCUACUAACAUUACAACAAAACAUAGCAUUUUCAUUUGCAAUAAUAUAUCAGAAAACACUAAUUGAUCCUGCAUAGAAAAGAACCAGCCACUUCCCAAGGGAUGGGCAAACUGCCCUAUAAUGUACUGCACUAUAAAAGUUUAUAGUUAAAUAUAAACUACUUCAAAAAAACUGUACUGCACUAAAAAAUAGUUCAGAUUGAACUGCACUAAAAACCCUAAUACAAUAUCACAUCAAUUCGUCUCCUCAACCAGUGACUUUAAAUAUCUCUUCCCAAUGCCCAUUUGUUGACAUCCCAUUCAUCUUAAAUGAAUUUCACUAAUAUAAAAAUCUAGUAAUCAGACUUCAGAACAGGAAAAAAAAGUCACCAAACUUCCAAAAUCAAAAAAUCAAUUUCUUUAGAAAGAACAUUAACAAAGUAAAUGAAAGACACAAUAAUUAAAAUCAUAGCAGAAGUAAUAAAACAAAUCUAACACGCUGAAUAACAUCACUUCUUUACAAACUCAAGAUCUCAUCCUAAAUCAUUUAAGGUAAAAAGGCUAAUUAAUUAAUAAUCAAGUCCAGAUAACAAUCUUAGUGGGGCCAGGUCCGGCAUAUUAUCAGAACAAAAUAGCCUUAAAGAUCAUUCUAUUUUUCCUGGUACAUUCCUUCCAAAGAUAGUCUUAAAGUAAACCACUAGUUCUCCUGAGAUUGAUUACCACAACGGGUACAUGUAUAGAAAGUAGUUUGCCCUUCAUCUGCUGAUCUCAUCUGAAAAAAGAAUGAUUGAAAUAAAUAAUUAUGGACUUUAAAUAAGAUUAAGAUCAAAUUGCCAAAUAUACAUUAUAAAGUCUAACGAUACCUGUCUGGUAUAAAAGUUAGCUUCAUCAUGGCCACAUUUUUCACAUUUUUUGUUGACCUGUCAAGAAAUAAUACGUUUUUUUAGAGAAGAAACAAUAACAUUUGAAACAUUCAAAUAUCUUCUUAAAAACCAAGCUAUAUUUAAUAUUGAAUGAUGCCAUUACCUUCGACAAUUGCACCUUCUGUUCCUCGAUUAUUUCCAUUCCAAGCUCUCUUCUGAUCUCCUGCAAAACACAAGGUUACUUUUAUUUAAAGAAGAAUUGCCAAUAGUGUACAUAAAGUGAAUAUGUCCAUGGUCAUGAUAAAUCACAAAUUUGGCUUAUUUCAGUUAUAUGAGACUCAAGCUUCAGCUAAGCUGCUGCAAUUCUUGGUAGGAAAUUUAAAACCUAAAAAGUUAGCAAUCCUGACUAACUGUGCCAGAAUUUUCACAAUAACAUUUCACCUCAACUUUCUAUCAUUGCUGCAUUGAUCUUAAAAAUCUAAACCCAGGUCCAAUUUCACUAUGGCUACACUAAUCAAAUUCAAGUAACAUGAGAACUAAUCGUGUAUACAUAAACUUGAAUGUUCUUCUGUUACUUUAAUGCAAUACUACCAAUUGAUCUGUUAAAUUAUUGGCAUGACAACAACAUAGCCAAUACCAUUAGUGAUAUCAAAAGGUAUAGUGAUGUCUAACAUUAGUUUUAAACGAAAGAAAAAAAGAAACUCCAAUACCAUCAUGGUCUUUUCACCAAUUCCCACCAGGACAGAUAAAAUCAAGGUAGGCCUAAGAGGGUACACAAAAACAACUGCUUCUAAGGAUAUAAUCACUUAUUUUCCAAACACUCUCUUAGAAAGUUCGCAAAAACAGAUUAUUAUUUCUUCACAAUGAGCCCAUGCAAACACACAAUAAGAUGGUUAUUUAAUUACACAUACGACAAAAAAAAAAAGGUACAGAAAGUGUCAUGAAUUCGUGAGUCAUGUGUGAAGUCACGGAGGAAGAAGACAUGUUCAUUUUUCUUUUAAAAGAAGUGCAUGAAGCACCAUAAGUAAGUCCAUGAACACUGGCAUGUAAACUAUAAUAAUAAUAAUUCACAGUCAUGGGAGAUAACAGAAAUAAAAACAUACCUCAGCAGUAAUUGUGUAACUUAUUUCCUUAUCACGAAUAUCUGAACACAACCAUAGUCAAUUGGAGAGAGUUAUACAUAAUAUACAACUAAGAAAAUUCGAGAACACGUUACCACAGUAAAAAUAGGGCUUAACCUUGUAUGUCUUGGAGAGUUUUGCACAAAGAACAUUGGGCGUACUCACUGGAAGGAACAAUUAGCAUUGUCCCACACAAAUGGCAAAAGAAAUCGAGUCUAGAGUAAUAAUACGCCAUCGAUUUUGGAGGUGAAAUACACAGUUUUGUGUGUAGCGCAGAGAAUACAGAGGACGAAGCUGCAAAAACCCUAACGUAUACUGACGAAACGAGGAUGAAACACUUUUUUACAAUUUCUAACAUUCACGUCACUACAUUAAUUAAGAGUUCAAUCAAACAAAAGACAAAUUUAUCUAAAUGAUGAUGAUGAUAUAGGGUCUGAAAACAAAUUCAGAGUUUAUAUUUCAUACCCCUAAGCCCAAAACAUCCAAUCCAGUUAAAUCAGAUUAAUAUUUCAAAUCAUACAUACCCCUGUUUACUCUAUGACCAUAUAUCAUUUACCUAGUUUUAAGCAAUUUUCAAUUCUCAUCUACUUUAUUUAAAUCAUAAUUAACACUGCAGCAAACUAGUUUCACCCAUCACAUUACACCACAUGGAUUCAGACACAUAAGCUCUCAUUCAAUUAAAACCAGUUUCUGAUAAACAACUCAUAUACAUUCAUUCUUUAAAAGCUACGUAAGGUAUUCUAGUAACACUUAACAUCAGUUUGAAUAUCAAUUAUUCAGUUCCCUUAUACCUAAUGUUGACCAUAAUCUGAACAUAAUUUUACAUAAUGAAUUAACCUAACACACAAUCAGACCUCAUUACCCCCUCUAACUUGUUAUUUUUAAUUUCAGAAUUUUUACACAUAUACAUUCCACUUAUGUGCAUCAACGCCAUUGCCAUAUAUUCAAAACAAAGUGGACUUGUCAUAUUUAAUAUUGUCUACCACUUUUAGCCAUAUCUUCAGAAUUGUAAAAUCCUCAGUAUAAAAAUUCAUUCUUACCAACACAACUCAUAUUUCUAAUACUUCAUAAUUAAGCAGUCAUUCAGUUGUAUCCCCUAAUUCAGCAUUAUACUGCAGUUUAUUCAUUAAUCAUAGAAUACAAUGUCCCAUUUCAUAUAUUGAGAACACUCAACUACAGAAACCUUACUCCACUCACCCACAUUCAUCAGAAAUAAUACAAUCAUACACAAAUUCAAUCACACAGAAUACCAUUACCGUUUUCCAGCAACAUAAACAUCAACCACAAGCACUCGAAUAACACGCCGAAAACAAAAAAAUCUAUGUGAAUCGGAUAUGGGGAACCGUUUCACACAGAUGUGCCAACCACAUUCAACCAAACAGCGACCAACCUGCAGUGAGCGAAAACUGGGUGCGUGUUUGUGUAUACUGGCGGCGCUAGUGCUCGAGCCUUGAAUGAAGCUCCCUCGAGACAGAAUGCACCACCUUUGCGAAGCUGUGGCUGCGGUGCGAAAUCUCGCUCCUGUGUGUGACGAUGGAAAGAGGAGGACGAAAGCAAAGGGAGAGGGAAAAGCGGCUAUGUGCCUCUGUGUGUGCUGGACAGAGGAAGAGGAAAGCACGAGCGGGGUGCUCUAUGUGUGGAAUAAUUGAGAGACCAAAAAAAGCCAAAAAAAAAAAUUGAGAUGAGGGCACUGUAAUUACCCAAAUAAUAUUAAGUGCUAACGUUGAGUUUCCCUUCGUGUUGCAAUUUUGAAAAGUUCACUGGGCUUAACUGGGCCAAUAGAUUCGGGCUUUCGUCCUGCAGCAUAAAUGGGUGUUGCUCCCUACACCUCUUCAAAAGAAACCUAUACCUUUCCACUAUUUAAAUCUCCCAACAAACUGUAUUUAGCAUAAAGUUAUUUACUGCGUUAUUUUAUCUAAAAAAUUAACCCAUCAAAAAGUCAUUUCUAUUGUAUAUAUUUUUGUAUAUACUUUUCAAAAACAUAAAUAAAAUAUAAGAAAACUUUAUUUUCACCACAUUAAAUUGUUAUAUAAAAUUUAUCAACAUAUUUCUGUUGAAAAAUUGAAUAGUUGAGAGGUUUAAAUUGCAAAUAAGGGGUGAGAACAGCAAUGCGCCCCGUGUAUGUUGCUUUCGGGAUCUCUCGGCCUACCUCGGUUAAAUUUUUUUUUUUAUUAAACACCAAUUUUGUUUAAAAUUAUUUGUAUUCAAAAGUAAAAACUGAUUAAUUGAUUUAAAAGAAAAAAUAAUAAUAUAAAAGUGGAUUAAAAAGCAAAUGAAAGAGAAACAUUUUUGCCUUGAAUAAUGUUUAGAAAAGGGUUUAAUAUGUGAGUAUUUUUGUACCAUAAGUACUUGAAUGAGAUGAAGAUGAUAUGAAAUAAAAAAGUAAUGAUAUUUUGGAGCAAUGAAUGAUUAGAUAGUGUGUGUGCUACAAAUAAAUUGGGUUGCAUGUGGAUAUUUAGGCAACCCACAUGCAAGAACAUGAGUACUAUCUUCCUCUUUUUCCUUUUUCCUUUUUCCUUUUUCCUUAGACAAUGCUUACACCACAUUCAAUGCGCCACCAAUAAUCUUAUACUUUAAACAUUCAAAUUUAUACAACCAUGGUUACAAUAACUGCUUUCAAAAUUACUACAUCAAACCUGUUCUGAUGUGAACAUGCUCUAAUUCCUGGAGACAAUUGCGUCCACUGUGUUUUAUACGAUCAGUUGCAUGUGCAUUGCACAUGUCUUUUCUAAUUAUUGCUUCUCAUGUUCAUCUUCAUUCAUGGAUUGGAAAUCACGUAUAAAAGUCAAGUUCGAACCUCUUCUACAUAUAUUUUGCUCUUCGUGUCCCACAACUUUUGCUCUAACACUCAUCUCACAAACUCUCCAUUUAUAGCUCAUCUCUUUCACCUUCUACGCGUAACAAUUUUCCAAACUUUUCUUUUAUUUUUAUAUUUCUAUUGCAGUUUUUUUAACAAACUUUUAUGUUUCAGAUAAAUCCACAAUGUACCAUGUCUAGACAUGGGAACAACGUUUGAAGAUGAUAUAUUCAUAUGAAUCUUUUAUUUUAUGUCUUCGUAUGACCAAUUGGAUAAACCGACAAUAACUUUCAGUUAGGCCAUUGAGAUUCAAACGAAUCAGGCACCAAGCUAGGAGAUGAUAAACCCAAAUGAUAAAGAUAUAUGUUAUUAUUAAUGAAAUCUUAAAGACUAAUUUAUAAUAUAUAAAUAGAAAUAAACGUUAUUUUAUCAACUAAUUUUAUGAAAUUAAAUUAGAUUUAAAGUCUAAAUAAAAUAAAAGUGAAAAACUAAUUCCAUGUCUUAUUCUCAUGGUAGUCAAAUAACAUAAACUAAAUGAUUAUUACUAGGUUUAAAAAAUACUAUUGAUAUGUUUCUAUGAGUUAAUUUGACUCUAAUUAGUAUAAAUAUUGUGGUUUUAUCACUUAAUUUGACUCUAAUUAAUAGACUACUAUUGAAAUGGUUCCAUUCCGGAUGAACUCUCCAUCGAAACUCGACCAAAUACUAAGUAAAAUUUUAAAAUUACCAUAGUACUUCUUCUUGCAAAUAAGAUAUGUAUAUGAAACGUUUAAUUAAGUAAAGUCUUGUUUAAACCUACUUUGUUAUAAAAUACGAGUUUGGUUAUUGUUAAUUUGAUUAACAGUUUUGGUGUUUAGACAUGACCUUAAGCAUUUCAGCCAUGACUCAAUUCUUUAUGUUUAACGAUUUUUUAAAUUGUAAAAAUUAUAUCAUAGUUCAUUAAAACAGUUGUACAAACAAUGAAUAAAAGCUUUACAAUUCACGUAAAGACAAUAAAAUAAUAAUUGGUAUGUGUAAUAAUGUGAUACAUGUACUUUGUUUGAAUAGUAAAAUGAUAAUGUGGACUACAGUACUGAUGUACAAUACAGAAUAUUUAAACACAAGUUAAUAUAAUAAAAAUAUCAGGAUGUUUAGCUUGAUUGAAAUUAUUUUCUGUUGUAGUUAUAGGGAAAAAAUUAUGCAAUACAAUUAUAAGGAUCUGUGUUUAUACAAAUUGAGAAAAGUCGGUUUUGUAUUUAAUGUUUUUAAAAUAAGUAAAAUUGUAAAAUAAAGAAUAAUUUAGAAGAUUAAUGAAUGUGUUCAAGUUCAUUUUUCUUAUAAAGUUUUAUCUAUCCGAAAAAGAAAAAGAAAAAACAUGAUAUCAGGGGAUGUAAAUUAUUAUCAUAUUUUCUUUUUAUGCUUGUGUCUGAUAUAAUUUUUUAAGUUAAUAUUUACGUGUAUAAUCCUUCGAAAAGUUGGUAUAUAUGGUGUUAUUAUUAUCAUAAAGCACAAUGGAAAUAUCUAUUACGUGUAUCGAUUGAAUUGUAAAUAACUGCAGAUAUAAAAAAAAAAAAAUUACUCAUAGUUCUUUUAAGUUAUUAUGUUUAAUUUUAGUUCAACUUUAAUUUUUCGAGUCAUAAUUGUUAAUAAUAUAAGAUAGAAAUAGUAAUGUUUAAAUUAAAAAUUAUGAUUAUAAAAGUAAACGAAGGUUUUCCAUGCAAAUUUAAAUUAUUUUACUUAAAAAAGAGAGUAAAUGAUUGAUAAGUCAAAUGACGGUGAACCGAGAAAUGAAAAAAGGUACACAUAAAAGAGAAAUAAAUUACAUAAUCUUUAAAUUACUAUUUUAAAUGGACUAUUUAUCAUUGUUAAUCUUUUCUUAAAAUUCUUAAAUUUUAGGGAAGUCAUUUUUUAAUAUAUUUUUCAUAUGAUACAUUCUUACUUAUACUGAAUAAGAUUAUUAUAAAAGACAGAUUUUUAGUAAUAUAUGUAUAUAGCAUUUUAAUAUAACUUAUCUGAAAAUAAAAAAUGGAGCAUUCAUAUAUUAGUUUUAGUAAUUUAUACAAAAAAAAUUAUAAAAAAUGCGCAAGAAAAAAGUGUAUUGUUUUCAUUUGUGAUAAAAUUACAUAUAUGUCCAGCUUAGUAGAGACGAGUGAAACAGAUGAUAGGAAUAAAACUACCGACUGAAAAUAAAUAAAAAUAAAAUAGAUAUUUGACUAAAAAACAAUUGAGAAGAAAAAAAUAUAGAGACACGAAAAUAAGUAAAAAAAAAAAAAUAGCGUAAUAAGUGCAUUGAGCGCAUAAUAGUGAAUUCGGCGCAGCUGGUGUCACGUGGUGGCACAUGCAAAACUGACAGACUGGGAAAGAGCAGAUUUCAUUUAUUGAGAAAGAGAAUGAUUUGAUUUUGUUUUUCCAGAAAAAAUAAAAUUAAAUAAAAUAAAUAAAAGGAAAAUGAAUUUGAAAGACUUGAUGAGCUUGACUUUCUGUAUCUAUGUGGGCCCAUUUGUCCAUUCCACUUUCAAAGUUUUUCCAUUCUCACCGUUCCCUCAAUCAAUGCUCCUUCUCUCUUACAUCAACAUUUUCCAUUUUAUUUAUAAACAAAUUCUCAACUACUUUUUCAAUAUCACAAAGAUACCACGUCAACAUUUUUAUUGAAUAUUAAUUUUAAAUUACUAAAUAGACAAAUGUAUAUAAUUAAAUUAGUAAUUAAUUUAAUUUAUAAAUAAUAGAAAAGGAGAGUCAGGAAAUUAUAAGAGAACAGAAAUUACAUUCAAACUAAACAUUUUAUUCUCAUAACCUAAAGUAGUAAAGUUAAGGGGACACGGACUUCAACCAAAACUGAAAAGAAAAAUAUCACCGGGACAAAAAAACAAAAUAAAAAAAAAAUUGCAAAUUCCGCAGAGUUUCUGUUAUUUCUAAUAAAAGGAUUUAUAUAUUUCUUAAAAUAUAAACUUAUACCCUUAAAUACAAACCAAUCACAAAAGAUAAUUUGGCUUAUAUAGUUCGUCCAGUAAACUAUUUUAUUAAGAUAAAUACAAGAAAAAUAAAAGAAUUCCACAAAAUCACAAAAUAUCAUAGCAACACUAAAAAAUAUUAUAACUUUUCUCUUCCAACAUUUACAUAUAGAAGACCUAGAAGAAAGAUAUAAAAGAGAAAUUUCUCAGCUUUAGUAAUCUUCAUCAAGUCUUUUAUAUAUAUAUAUAUAUAUAUAUAUAUCAAAACAAUUGUUAUCUUCAUUAAUAACCUAAAUUGGGUUUACAAUCUUGUAUUCAUGUUUAGACUUUUUAGUUAACAAAUAAGUGAUUACUAAGAAAAGACUUUCUUCUAAUAAAAUGUUAACUAGAAUGUCUAGAUUAAAAAAUAUCCAAUUUUUAUUAAGAAUGACGGCAUAAAGAAUAUUUGAAAUUUUGUUAAGAUUUAAGUAAUACUUGUCUUCUAUCUUAUAAUUUUAGUGAUAAUCUUAUUUUUUACCUUUUAUUGAUAUUAAAUUUUGUAAAUAAAAUCAAUUUCUUCAUAUUUUUUAUAUUCUUUAAUUUUUAAGUUUAUUUUGUUUUUUAUUCUUAUUUUAUUUUAGUUAUUUUAAGUUUUUUUUUUCUAAUUUCUAUUCUGAAAUAAGUUAAUAAAUGAAAAACUGAUUGAAACUCAAAAAAUAUAUGAUUGGAUAAGGUAUAAUAUUUUUUUUGACAAAAAUCCCACAUAGAAGGCAUUAGAACCACAUCCAACGCCAUGAAGAAAGUGUACUAAAAAUGCUGACAAAAACUUAAAUCACAAAUUUUUUUAAGGCGUAUAGAUCAUUGUCUUUAAGGAUUUACCUGCGGUAUAUUGCGCAAGCCCCCAAGAUACAACAGGAAUUUGACAAAAUAUUUCUGAAAAUCUUAGAACUAGCAAGGAUCUCUAAAAAGAGUAUAAAAUAAACCCAGAAUAAUUUUAGAAGAGGAAAAAACAAGAAAGAGAGAAAACUGCUUUUGGUGUGUUUUGGAACCGAAGAAAAACUCUUUAUUUAUAGAGUUAGGAAAGAAUAAAAAAAAAAUAAUAAUAAUCAAUGAUUUUAAUGUUGCAAAUUUAUUUGACAUUGCAAAAUUUAGCAUAUUACCUUUGAGCAAUGUCUCUUUUGCAAUAAUCUAACAUUAUUACAACAAUAAGGACUCACAUGUAAAGCUAUAGUGCCAUGGAACGCUCUUGGAAGACCAAAAAAGCAUCAUUGGCCGCUAAGUUAAGUCGUUGGGCAAGCUAGCUACUCGUUAGGCGAAAAUGGCAGCCCAAACUUUCAGUACUGGAAUCAUUUAGAAAAUAAUAUGGUACACCCAACAAGUUACAAGUUAGAGAGUGUCGAUUUUUAGGUCUCGUUGGUCAAGAAUGAAAUCGUUGGGAGAUUCUGUUGGCCUUGAUACGCGAAAGUGAGUAUUUAAUCAUGUUUUCACAAGAGUUUUGGGCAUUCCUUAUUUUUACAUGAAUAAAAUCACCUAAGAUGAUUGUGAGAAACUCUUUGAGGUUGUUUGGAGUACUGAGAAACUCUUCCUCUCAUCCUUUAGUUUCUUCCUUCACCCAUGGUGUUUUUUUCCCUUUUGGGGUUGGAGAGGAAGAUUAUUACAUAUUUAGAAAUGCAAAGGAGAUGUGUGAUUGAACCUUGGAGUAGCUACUAGGUGCCUUAGGAAAAAGUCUUCAUCUACUUUAUGAUUUCAAUUUUUUCUCUAUCUUUUGUCUUCAUCUACUUUAUGAUUUCAAUUUUUUCUUUAUCUUUUCAAAUUGUAAACCUUGGGUUCUCCACCAUGGAGAGAUAUUUCUAUUUGUUGAUAUAAAACAUAUUAUUGCGUAAAAUUGUGUUGUUGACAUGUACAUACGUUUUCAAUUCAAGAUAAUAUUUAAUUUCUAUGCUUAAUGCUUGAUGUGGAUUGUUAUGAGUCUUGAGGUGUUGAGAAAUAUCUUUAGAAUUUGGACUUGAAAUUUAAUGGUUAAUGGAUGUUCGUAUCUAGGAAUAAAACUUGGUUUAUUUGAAAUUAAUGUAUGAUUUUAUACUUGACAAGUGAUCAUAUGUUCAAUACACUAAAAAUAGAAUUUAAAUAUAUUGAUGAGUUGAUUUUGAUUUGAAUAUGAAAUUAAGACAUUUUUAAAUACAUGAAAGUAGACUAGAUAAAAUCUAAUCUUAAUAUUUGCAAAAUAGUUUAUUUUAAAUUUUUUGUUACAUACAAAUUGAAUUUUCAUUAUAUUUUUAUGAACUUUGUUAUAUAAUUAAAAUAUUUAGUGUAAAAGUUAUUGAAUGUAUGAAUAAAUUUUUUGAAAAAUAAUGAUAUUUAUCAGCGACCAGUAAUCUAAAUUUUUAAACCUAUUAAUAUAAAACUAACGAGAGUUUUACUAAAAAUAAGUUUGAAAAGUGUAUAUAAUUACGUGUGCUAAUCUUUAUCAGAAACUAUACUGUUACGUAAACUUCUUAACAAUGUGGUAACUGAAAGUUUUAUUUGACUACCUUUAUCAAAUGUUGAUAUGUGUAAAUUUUCCAAAGCUUUAUAUACAUAAUUUAACCCUUUUUUAUUGUGCAUUUCACUUGUUUUGACAUACUUAUAUUUGGUUCUUAGUUUCUUAACUUUUCUUCUUUUGUUGUUUAAUUGUUCAAUUUAUUCCAAAUUCAUAAAGAUUAAUCUAAUCUCAUACUUUUUUUUCUUAUCUUAACCUUCGUUAAAUUUUAUUUGAAAAAUAUUUCUUUUAAUAAAAAAAUUUAUUUUCUUUUGGUUGUCUUCCUUAAAUUUACUCAUAUCUCGGAUGUACUUUUCUUCUUAUUAUAAUAUUAAUUAUAUAUUGAAAUGGUAUAUUACAUUUCAAGAAAUACACUUUUAAAUUUUAUUGAAUAAAAUAAUUUCUACAAAAGAUAUUUACUCAUUUUUAUUCAAUUUUUAUUUAUUAAUCUAAAUUGAUAUUCAUGUAGUUAUAAUUUUUAUAUUUAACAUUAAAAAGAGUAUCUUUUUAACGUUGAUUUUUUUAUAAUAUUGUGUUUACUUUGUAAUUUUUAUUUUUUAUAAAAGUUUAGUUAAUUAAUUUUUAAAAUUAUAUAAAAGAGUAUGAGAAUACUUAUUAUUUGAUGGAAGAUGAGGAUGGCAAAAAUUUAUAACUAUUAAUAUAAGAAGAAUGAUGAGGAUAAAAUUUUGCUAUAAGGAUAAAGACAAUGAGAUCAAAAGUAUCAUGUGAAAACAUUGUGUUAGAGGUGGAAGAAGUAAUGUCCUAACAAGAUCAAGAGGAUAAAGAGAUUAUACAUAAAAAUAAAUAAGAGACACAAAAAUAACAAUAAUUUUAAAUUCUUAACUUUUUUUUUAUAUGAAAUUUAAAAUUUUAUUUUUAGAUUAUUGAAUUCCUCUCAUAAAUUUUAAAAUAUGUUUUUUUUUUCUAAGUGUUUCUUAUUAAUACAAUUUAUUUACUUCAAAACAUUUUAAGUUCUGCAUAAAAGUAAAUUAUCAUCUAAAAAUUCACACUAGGUAUUAUUUUGUUUAUUUUUUUUUCCUAUUCAUCCAUACGAAUUAUGGAGCGUGCAUGUCUUUUAAGAGUGUUAGUUUUUAGGAGCAGCAAACAUGCGGCUAUGUUCCAAGUUGCUUAGCAUUUCCUAAUUAAAAUAAUGUAUUUCGUAGACCGUACGAUCCGAUCUAAUGUAAUUUGCAUCACCGUCAUGAUAUUUGUGCUGACACACGUGUCAGACGUUGGUUCUCCAAAUUGAGGACAACUUUCUACUUCUAAAUGCACCCAAUAAAUGUUGCAUCAAUCCCUACCCUUGAAUGCUUCUAUAAAUACCCCACCAUCAUUUGCUUUCGGAUCCCAGCAUCUCCUCAAACAUCCCUCUUGUUUCUUGGUCUUGAUUCGUGAUUCAGAAAGAAGGUUCUGCCAAAUCAAGAGGGGUAUUCUGAUCAUAGUGUGUGUGUGCAACAAUGGCUAUGGCUAAGUUCCUUGCAGCUAUGAUCUUGGCACUCAUUGCCAUUUCCAUGCUUCAAACCGUGGUUGGUCUUUAACAAUGUCUAAGAACCAGACACAUUUAAUGUUUUUCAUGUUUUGGUACCACUAGCGUACUAGUGUUGAGAGAUUGAAGGCUUCUUACACUUUUAAUGGCUUUAUUUUUCAGGUUAUGGCUGCAAAUGGGCAUGGAGACCACCUGAAUGAUAACAAGGUAUGCUGCAUCUCUUUCUCUCUGGUUUUGUGAAGAAUGAAAAAUGGGGUCUAGGGAUUUUGCUUUCUAAGGGGUGAAUCAGUGCUGAUUUAUGCUGUUUGUUUCUGCAGAGCAAAUAUGGAAGUGGGAGUCUCAAGAGUUACCGUAAGUAAACUUCAUUUCUUCAACUUGUCUUUUUAUGGCAUCAAGCAAUGUAUAUAUGUCAACAGAUUUCUCCAACUCCAAACUUUGCAUAUAAAAAAUGGUGGCGACACUGAGAAUGGAAGAAGGAAAAUUUUUAAGAACAUUCCCAAAAAGCUCUCAGUGCAGAUCUUGGAUUGUUAUUUUCCUAUUAUUUUUUUCAUUUAAGCCAAAUUAUGCUCACAUGAUUCUCUACCUCUCUUUUCAAUGCUCUUAACUAACCAAACCGACAUAUAAUAUUAUUUGUACUUUUUUUAUAAAUUAAAAAAAAAAAAAGUUCUACAAUUUUAUUAUUGUUACAUCUCUCUUCACUGUCAAUUUUAGUUUGACUGUGGUCAAUUUUUUUCCAAUAAAAGCUGCAUUUUUUUAGUGUUUUGACUGAUGUGUGAAAAGAGAGGAGUCAAAGAGCUAUUGAUUACUGGAUUGACCAUACCGGUUGCCUCUUUUGUUUCUUACCAAUGCUCAAUAUGUCUCUUUUGGGAAUAUGAAAUGACCAGAAUGCCCAUCACAAUGCUCGAGGAGAUGCAACAAGACCCAAUACCACAAGCCCUGCAUGUUUUUCUGUCAGAAGUGCUGCAGGAAGUGCCUGUGUGUUCCUCCGGGUUAUUAUGGUAAUAAGGCUGUGUGCCCUUGCUACAACAACUGGAAGACCAAGGAGGGAGGACCCAAGUGCCCUUGAGCUUCAACCUCAUCAACAUCAAAUGUUGCUUUCUUAUAUAUUUAUCACUUCCUUCAUUGUUCCAUUUAAGGCACUAGCUUACUUCCCUACUAUUCACAUGUCCUAACUAAAUGAUAUAGCCCCUUGUGGUGGCACUAUGAUGUAUGUUUUCUUAUGAAUUUUGGGAUGUCCUCCCUCUAAGGACCACAUCCGUAGUAUCACUCCUUAGGACUUGCUUUCCUUUCAUGUGAGUGGCUUACUUAUAUCAAUACAUCAUCUGUGGAACUUAUUUCUAGUUUAAUGUCUUAUAAUUUUGGAAUCAAUGGGGGCUUCGGUGAUGCAUUGAAUCAUUGAAUAGAUAAUUGGGUUACUUCAUUCUUAUUACAAAGAGCAAUCUUUUUUCCCUGUCAGAGUAGUGUAGUUUCUUCUUUACAAGGUCCCUAUUUAUUACCAGAUAGGUGUGCAUGUGAUAAGGCAAAAGUGAUGCUCUUGCUC
rnacentral:lncRNA from 1 species